AGCCAUCAGUGUGGGCCCGGGAAACUCGCUCGCUCGAUCGCGGUACUUCCGGCGCUGAGGCUUACGGACGAACUGGAAGGUUGAUGUGGAUUGUGGAGGUUGGAAGCAGAGGUGGGCGCUGGAGGGGAAAGCGGGCCGGGGAUGGUCAGUCAACUGCUACUGGACAAAGAGAGCGCCAAUCAAUGCACGGCUCCACGCUGGUGUGAGUGUAACAGUGGAUGGUUGUUUAGUACGACGACAAAGCGGAGGGAGCUGAAUUCCACAGCGCAUGCUUGAUGCUUCUAGGCCUCUCUUGCCGUGUCCACAUCUUUACUUAUUUUCCGAACAUUGUCCAGCCGUGUCCUCUCUUUUUCUCAACAGCUGUCUGUCUCGCUGUUUCUGACUUUGAGAGGGUGCUUGGAUACAAGGGACUAUUUUUAGUCUGACUAAAAAUAGUCUCUUUUAGAGGCUAAAGUUCCAAGCACCCCUGACUAAAGAGAGGCUAGGACUAGUCUUGAGGCUAAAAUCUUUUAGUCAUGGGAAACCUACUAAAAUAUGUAUUAGCUCUCUCUCUCCUCAUUUAAUUUCUAUCCUUAGUUCUGGAUUGGAGGGUUUGGAGGAUAAUAAAUGCUCAAUAACUAGAUUUUAGUCUCUUUAGUACUUGGAUCCAAGCAUGGGUGAAACUAGUAAGUUUUAGUCCCACUACUUUUAGUCAUGGGACUAAAACGUAUCCAAGCAUGCUCUGAUUCGUACUCUCUCCGUAACCAACGCUCUUAUAUUUUUUUUUUAUGGAGGAGUAUUUGUUAAUAAUGUCUAUCUGUUUUCGUUAUAUAUAGGCGGCCAGCUAUCACCCGUUUGUUCGCUAGCGAUCGCCAGACGAAUCAUCCGUCCCCACAGGCCGCUUCAUUCAUUGGAUAAAACUACUAUAAUUGCGCCUAAAUAAAUCUGGCAUUUGUUCGGGCAAAAUUAACCCCUAAGACAGCCAUGAGACUUUACAUUGCCAAAAACAGUACACGAAACAUGGCCGCCGCGAUGCUUAUCGAGUUGCCUCCAUCUUUCAUCGUUCCUUCCUGUAUAUAUUCUCUGCAGUAGACACAAAGGGAAAAUGCUGUGAAGGAAAAUGAAAUAUACAGUAGUAUAGACCAGUGAUGUUUUUCCUUUCUUUGAUGAAGUAUAUACUAGUGAUUGAAUCAAAGAAAAAAUUGAAAAAAACAUAGUACAAUGGGAAGGUGAUGUUUGGUAGGCAUCCACAUCCCUGUAUGCUAAGAAGAUGUUAAGUUGAUAGCAAUUGUAUAUAUGGCGGCCGGUGACUACGAGUGAGAGCGAGAGCAAACCAGUACAGAAUGACCAAUGGCAAGAUCUGUAAAACAGGGCAUGUGCAUGCCUUAAUUGUUUAUGCUAACAAGCAUCUUCUCCGAAUCUUUACAAAAAAUAUAUGAAGGCACAAUUAUUGUUGUAAUGCCGACGGACAGGCGUUGGAUGACAACUUUAUUAUACACGACUAUGGAAGAUUACUGGACAUCAGGUCUUCAAAAUAUCGUCCCUCUUUGCGGCCUCGAAUCUAUCCGACGGUAGAAGUGAAAGACACGGCGUGUUUCGGUUCGGUCUUCACGGUCAAGCUCAGCACCUCAGGCCGUGCGUAGUGUCCCACGACGUCGAAAUCAAACUUGGCUCGAACAAUUUCUCCAAGGUCUGCAAAACAUAUCACCAAGUUUCUAGUAAGAAUUUAUACGCUUGUGAUGUCUCGGUCACAAUACGGAUUUAUGUAGGUAACAGCUUGCAAUACUGAUAACUGUAGAUUACUGAAAACAUAUGAAUAGGUAAAUCCAUACACCGUGUCGUACUGCGUAUAAGUACCCAAAGUGAUAUGCGUUUAGCAUAGACUUGGGAGUCAUCGGUUUCUUCUUACCCAGGUCAGCUGUGAGGAGGGCCUCGCCUUCAUAGUUGGGACCUGCCAACACUGUCCCAGAUGGCGAGAUGAUGGCGCUCCCUCCAGGACAAACAGCGGUUUCUGGGGAUGGCUCCUCCUCAUGGCCACCAAAGGUAUACUCAGGCGGGGGAGGAAAGUCUUUUCUGCGGCAGAACUGGUUUGCUGUCAGAACAAAGCAUCCCCCUUCAAGCGCAAUGUGUGUCAUGGAAGCCUGCCAACUUGGCAGCGCAUCCGCGGUGGGAGCACAAUAUAUUUGAACACCUGGAUAAGCAUAGGAGUGCACGUCAGGGAAAAUAUAAACUCAACUACAUGUCAUGGUUCGUUGUCAGCAUUUAUCUCUAGUUUUAGAUUUCAUGCUGCCAUUCUUUUGUACGUUAAUGCGUUGAGCCAAUCUAGUAACUCUUAUGUGGGAUCUCAGUUUCUGCCAAUAAAAUUCAAUAAUCUUGAAACGGAGGAAGUGUUGAGGUUGGGAAACAUAUUACGUCGCAAGAACUCGGAAUACCUUUGGCAUACAUCGCUGUCCUGAUAAGUGGCAUUCUGUUCUCCCAGCAGAUGACGGCACCUAUCUUUCCAAGUGGAGUAUCAUAAACAGGUAUCGUAGAUCCAUCUCCAAACCCCCAGAAUACUCGUUCCAGUGCGGUAGGCAUGAGCUUGCGGUGUUUUCCUAGGUACUUUCCCAGAGAAUCAAAGGAGAGCACUGUAUUGUACAGUGUGUAGCCUGCCCUUUCAACAACCCCAAUCACCAAGAAGACCUUGUAUUUUCCGGCCAAUGCAGCUAAGCGGCUAACCUCUGGGCCUGCAUUUGUCGUGCAUGCUCACAUUACUUUUUCACUAUGCUCUGUUGUGAUGAUUUGGAUUCAAAAAUCAAAUGUACGUGAAUAAUGAAUUACACCAUCGACCAGGCACAUAACAAAGAAAGUUAACAAAUACAGGUAACAAGGUCAAAAGCAAAGGUUUUGUCAAUUAUGGAGCUCUACUUUUUUUUGGAAGAAGAGCUCUACUUCUUGAAAUGCUGUAAAGCACGGAAAAGGGAACCAAAUAUCAUGCACACUUCAGCUCAGUAAUACCAGUUGUAACUUAUCAGCUUGUGGUCUGAACAGCAAGUUUGAGGGGUUUUUCCAUGAUUGCUUUUCCAUUUUUCAACAAUGUAGGAAAAAGAAGCGAUACAUAGUCUUACAUUAUUUUGUGGUUUAUACUUCAUUUCUAGCACUAAACUGUUCAAAUAUAUUGUCAAUGUAACUGUAACACAUCAAAAAAUAACUGUGUGCUUCAAAAUUUGUAGCUCAACAUAUGGAUUGAAUCUACAGUUCCAAAGCCGAACAAAAUAGUUUAAUUCUAGGUGUAUUUCUAUUUCUCAAAAGCAAAAUGCACACUAGGAAAUGAUAAGCAUCAAGCAAAAUGAUGAAGCACGGUGACUAUUGUGAAAAACAAUGUACAGUGAGUAUAUAUAUUGACAGUAUCUUGGAAUACCAGGCACAUCUAUGGCAGCCGCAUGAUACUUCCGAAAGUCUUCUUUUCCUUUGGCAGAUCGACUGCCAAUAGUCAGUCCAAAGGUAGACCCAUGAGGGUAGCCACCAACAAAGACUUCUGGAAAAAGAACCAACUGUGAACCAUAUCCAGCAGCCUCCACUAUCAAUUUCUCUGCUUUAUCUGUCGACAAUGCAUUUACAAAAUUAGCAGCAACAAAACAUUGUCCAGUCCUGUAAGGAAUUCAUGUAAAUAAAUGGAGUACAAGAUAUCCUACCAACAUGCAUUUCCUAUUUCAAAUCCUUGAACUCUUUUGGCAUAAUACUGUAUUUAUUUAUUUAUUUUAUUCUUCCCUCGAUUUGGUGGCACAGCGUUUAUUGCAGUUAAGUCAUUAAUGACUUUGUUAAUUAAAAGACUAAGAAAAAUGAUAUGAGGCCUCAACUCUUCAAUAGAUCUUGCUUAAUAGGGAAUAGCAUAGAAAUAAAAGGGAAAAAGAUGCAAGAAAACAAAUAGAUAAUCGAAUUUUAUCGACCCAAAGGGAAUCUCUCAGUAGGAGACUGCAAGUUAGUGUUCGCUUUCUUAAAGAUUGACAUCACAGCUGUAUGGCAAAACAAACAACUUUGGUACUAACUUCUAUCCAAUGCUCCUUCCGCCUAAUCACAAAGUGUAGAGCAAUAAUUGCUUCCACACAUGUAUAAUUGAGAAGAAAAAAACUGGCAUGUCCAUCUGUCCCCUUGGUAUCCAAAGUGGAUAGUUUAUACUUUAUACCACACCAGCACACAAACAACUUGUUUUCCACGCAAGAAAGACUGGGACUUAGUAAAUUGCCACUAAGAAAAUUACACCAACUACUAUUAAAGAGAAGCUAUCAAUUCCGUUUUCAUCUAGUCCACUGACGUUGAGGAAGCAAGGCACUUCCUUUGUAUACAUCCAAGACCACAAUAAGAAGGGAGAAUAAUACUCCCUCCGUUCCUAAAUAUAUAGGUCUUUUUAGAGAUUCCAAUAUGAACUACAUACGGAUUCCAAUAUGAACUGCAUACGGAUCCGUAUGUAGUUCAUAUUGGGAUCUCUAGAAAGACUUAUAAUUUAGGAACGGAGGGAGUAUUACAGAUCGGUGCACCAUCCUUGCGAUUCGAGGCAUCAGUCUGAUCGAUUACAACAAGGCAAGUUCGUGCUGGUGAGACAAGCAAGCAAACACCUAGCGCUCAGCACCCGAUCCAAACAGAUACACGAGCGAGACAAAUGAUCGAACACCAUACGAGCUACUGGCAACAAGAGGAAACAAGAGGGUCGGAGCACGCACCGAGCGUUGCAGGGGUGUCGUAGAACACGCUGCAGGCCUGCACGACAGUGGCCCGCACGGUGGUGGCACCCUGAUCGGCGCCGGCGUUCAUCUCCACCUCCGCAAUCACCGGCCCGACGCUGGCGGGGGACAAAGCCAUCGCCGCCGAACAGGAAGGGCGAGAAAUCGAGCGGACUAGGAGGGGGUGCGGGCUACUUGUCGUGCUUCCUGCGUAGGUAGUCGCGGACGAACUGAUCGCGGGCGAGCGUGCGUGCGCGCUGGGGCUCGAUGUGGACGUGGGAGAGGAGAGCGCCGUAGGCGAGGAGCCCCGCGCCGAAGGCAAAGAGUGCGACGGUGGAUAGCAGCUGCCGGGGAGUGGAUGGGGAGCACCAGCCCAUUCGUGGCGACUGGCGACUUUUAAAGGCAGGGCCGGCCAACGAGGAAGAAAUUGGAGAGGAGGAGGAUGACGAGUUGACUAUUGACGAGUCGUAUCCCUAGAGUUACUAGAAGAACGCCUGUGCGUUGCAACGGGGCCACAUUAACUUUAAGAGUUCAAUAUUACGACAUUGGCGACCUUUUUUACCAUCAAAUCCUCACACACACACACUCUCCCCCCUCCCUCUUCCUCACUCUCUCUCCCUCUCUCUCUGUAACACACACACACACAUAGCCUAUUCUCCCUGCCAAUAAGACUUACUCAAUUGGCAAUAAUGUGUGGAUUUGUUGUGAGCUUGACUGAACUAAUGGAUAGUGUGAUAUAUUUCCCAAUUAUUUAACAAUGAAAUUUCAGAAAUGGAAAGAUUAUGUAACACCACAAGUCGUUAGCUACAGUGACCUCCCCCUAAUGAUGCCAUGUCAUCAGGCUUGCUAAGCCAAACUGCCACUUGAUAAAAAUCAAAGCCCAAUUCAAAUUUAAAAUAAAGUCAAAUAAGUUAUUUCGUUAAACAGUAAAACUAAAAUGUUCAGCAUAUUCUAUAAAUUCUACUGAUCUUUGACAUGUUGAGCCCAACAUUAUUUGACCCAAAAAUUAAAUCUUGUCAAAUUAAUAAGAGGUCCAAUAGUAGUUAAAAUAACCAAUUAAAUAUAAACCAAAUUUUAUGUAUUUCCUUUUGGCCCCAAACUUUUUGUGCCACCUAAAAAUAUUGUGCUCGAAUUGUGUGCAUAGUUUCACAAUUAACAAAAUCCAUUUAGUUGAUAUACGAAUAAAUAAAAAACGGUGUUAAAAAGGAGAAACGGAUUAGAAUAGAUUAAAAAUCAAAAGGACGAUGAAAAAGGGGAUUCCCCCUACCCCGGGGCCUUGCCACCGAACCGGCCCAGUGGUCCAGUCCCCGCACGGUCGUCUUCUCCUGUUCCCCGAGCCCGUCGCUACAGAGCCGGGCUCCUGCCCGACCACCUCGCCGGCAUCGAAGGGGAAUGGAUAAGGGUGACGCCCUGCCUCCCCUGCCCCCAUGGCCUCACUCCUCCUCGACGCCCCUCCCAGAUCCACUUCUCCUCCUCGCUCGCUCGAUCCCAGUGAUCUGGACGAAGUCAGAUGCCACGGCCACCAUGACCGACCCCGUCCACACGGCCACUGCCCUCCCUGCUGGCUAGGAGCUUGUCGAGGAGCUCCGAAUGCCUCCGCUACUUCGUCUGCGCCAACGCGAUCAAGUCCAGCACCCCCAGAUCGACGUCGUUGUCGUCAUCCUCAACCUUCGGCCACCGCGACAUUGCCGUUCGAUCCACGCCGCCCCGAGCUCCCCUGUCUUCCCCUAGGAUGCCAUUGACACCGCCGUGAUCUCCUCUUGCCUUUUCCCAGUUUCCCCUCUCGUUUGCUCUCGUUGGGUAUUUCACCUUGGCCGAGAACAGUCGUCUGCCACGGCCAUUGCAGGGGUACCCACUGAGCUCCUCGGAUUGACCCCGUGGCACAUGCCCGCUCCUAUGCGCGCCCAUGCCCGAGCCUUCAGCUCUUCGUUCGCGCCCGCGGGGCCACUCCCUCUCUGGCUCUCCAUGCCCACGCACGUGCCACACCACGCCCGUCGCGCCCGCCAUUGCCAUCACGCUCGCCACAGCCACCGCACCAUUGUGCCCCGCGCGACGCACACCCUGGCCGCGCAUCACACUCUCGCUGGCUGCGCUCGCCCCGUCUGCUGCCGCCUAUCCCUUCGCUCGCCCCGCUGUCGCGCCCCUGCCUCGCGCCGCCUCCUGUCGCGGCCAUCUUUUGCCGGCCGCCCCCUCAGCCACGCCGGCCGCAUCUCUGCCCUCCACCGUCGGCCGCUCGCCUCGCCUGCUGCGUGCUUCUUCCUGCUGCUAUGCGCUGCUCUACCACUGGUACGCCGUUGCGCCAUGCCCUCGACACCGCCGUGGACAAACGUGGUGGAGGGAUUGUCAAUGGAGUACGAGAAGGAGGUGGUGGAGAAGGUGUGGAGAGGCAAGAGGUCUAGGGUGGCGUCAGCUAGCUGUGGUGGAGGUGAUUAUGCGAGAAGGAGCCGGUGCGGAAGGAGAGGUCACAAUUGGAAAGAAUCGCAAAAAAAUCAUAAUCCGGAGAUCUCAUUCCUAAAAAAUGCUAAUAUCGAUGGAGGGGUGAUUUUUUUCAAUAGGUGGAAAACAUAGGAAAUAUUGGAUGUUAUGAAGGAAAGGUAAAAAUUUAAGAAAGUUAGGAUUUUGAACUGAUUUCUAUGCUAAUGGGAUUUUAUUGUUUGGUAACAUGAUAUUAGUACCUGCCCGUUUGUGACAUGUCUGAUUAGGAAAGUUUGCAAAUGUUAGAAACUAUUUAUUGGGAGGAAAGUUUGUGACGUGUCUGUUAUUUGUUUCCUAAAACAAAUUUUACUAAUGAGAGAAAUCGAUUGAUUUACAUAAGUUAGGAAAGUUAGAUUCAAAUCUAUUAUUUGUUUCUUAAAAAUUUGUUAUUUGUUUCCUAAGACAAAUUGAACCAAUAAAAGGAACCGAUUGAUAUGAAUAAUUUAAGGAAGUUAGAUCCGUGAUUUGUUAUACGUUAGGAAAGUCCUGGUUGUAAUAAAGAGUGGAGAAAAAAAACCGAUGGACCAGAAUGGAAGGGGGUGAUGGGAGGAGAGACGAAAAAACCAGCGAAAAUAAACCGUGAAGACUAUUCACUAACUGCUCCAUUAGAAGUAGAGAUUGAGGAUGACCUCACUGCCAUAGACAUGAUCCCUGCAAACUUUUUUCUUAGCUUCGUCCCUGAGUCUUGUGUUACUUACGGCCACCCUAGUUGGAACCACCGGGGUUUUGAAUCAGCAUGAUCUCUUCUACUACUGGGAAUAUAUGAAUGGUCCUAUACAUAUAUAUGCAUGGUACGGCUCGUCGGCUCCCAGUCCCAGCUAAUCAAUGGUUCGGUGAUCAGUACCAGUACGGGAGCCAAACAUGCUAUCGAUCGAUUAGUACGUUCCAUCCACACGUAGAUGGCAAACUUCGGCCCGAAGCAAGCGAGCUCGACCAGACUUGACCAAAAGGGUCUCUCCGCCUAAUGCACAAAGGGUACACAGAUACUACUACAAACAAGAAGAACGCCCGUGCGUUGCAACGGGGCCACAUUAACUUUAAGAGUUCAAUAUUAAUAUUCUCAUACAUAUCAAUCCUUCUUCUCCUUCCGUCUGCCACCAAGACAGGGACCUAGACUUUGUGCUGCUCUUAUUGAUUUCAAACCCAGACGAGAUGGGGUGGUGGGAGGGGGGACGAAAAAACCCAGACGAAACAAAGGAGAAGGAGAGCCUCAUCAGUAGCAUCUUGGUGAAUUUCAAACCUAGCGUUGUGCUCCGCCCAACGAACAUGGACGCCGCCGCCGGCGGCCCGGUGGAGCUCGAACCCGAGAGACUCUGCUGCUUGCUGGGAGGGGUCGGGGAGGGUCGGAGCACAUGAGCAUUGACGUGAAGACAGAGUAGGCCGGGGAGAUUACUGUGCACGCCGCACAGCGACUUGGACCUCGGAGGGCCUUAGCUCUGUCAGGAGGAGGUCCCGAGUUCCUGCCGAGGACAGCCUGACGGGGGAGACGCACGGCCGCUUGCGCUGCCCGCAACGCGACCACGCCCUGCCCUAGGGUUCUGCGACGGCGGCAACGUCGUCCACAGCCACACCCUCUCCGAGUCCUGCCCUGAACUGGGGUUCCGAGAUGGCGGCGGUGGCGGAGGUCUCUGAGGUUGGAGAGGGGCAAGAUGUAGGACGGCGGAGACUGGAGCCUGGAGCGAUGGCGGCGUUUCGGGAUUGCAGGCAGGGGGACGUGCGAGGUGAGUGUUUUUUUCACCGGUUUAUGUUGUGUUGCCUGCACGGAUAUAUAGGAGAACAAAUAGGUGGAUUAUAAUUCCUUCCAUUGUAUAAGUGCUGGGAAAGGAAGCGAGGGACAAAAAUCAAUCGAGGGGCCUUUAAGAGUAGAGAUUAGUUAAUUGGAUUUUUCUUUAAAGUCUGUUAUUUGUUUUCUUAAAAUUUAUUAUAUGUUUCCUAAAUCAAAUUGCAUUGAUGGGAUGGAUCGAUUGAUUUGGAUAGUCUAUUAUUUGUUUCCUUCACAUCCAUUAUAUGUUUCCUAAAGCAAAUUGCAUUGAUGAGAUGGAUCGUUUGAUUUGGAUGGAUCGAUUGAUUUGUUUCCUUAAAAUUGGAUUUUUUUUAAAGUCUGUUAUUUGUUUCCUUAAAAUUUAUUAUAUGUUUCCUAAAUCAAAUUGCAUUGAUGGGAUGGAUCGAUUGAUUUAGAUAGUCUAUUAUUUGUUUCCUUCACAUCCAUUAUAUGUUUCCUAAAGCAAAUUGCAUUGAUGAGAUGGAUCGUUUGAUUUGGAUGGAUCGAUUGAUUUGUUUCCUAAAAAUUGGAUUUUUCUUUAAAGUCUGUUAUUUGUUUCACCGGUUUAUGUUGUGUUGCCUGCACGGAUAUAUAGGAGAACAAAUAGGUGGAUUAUAAUUCCUUCCAUUGUAUAAGUGCUGGGAAAGGAAGCGAGGGACAAAAAUCAAUCGAGGGGCCUUUAAGAGUAGAGAUUAGUUAAUUGGAUUUUUCUUUAAAGUCUGUUAUUUGUUUUCUUAAAAUUUAUUAUAUGUUUCCUAAAUCAAAUUGCAUUGAUGGGAUGGAUCGAUUGAUUUGGAUAGUCUAUUAUUUGUUUCCUACACAUCCAUUAUAUGUUUCCUAAAGCAAAUUGCAUUGAUGAGAUGGAUCGUUUGAUUUGGAUGGAUCGAUUGAUUUGUUUCCUUAAAAUUGGAUUUUUUUUAAAGUCUGUUAUUUGUUUCCUUAAAAUUUAUUAUAUGUUUCCUAAAUCAAAUUGCAUUGAUGGGAUGGAUCGAUUGAUUUAGAUAGUCUAUUAUUUGUUUCCUUCACAUCCAUUAUAUGUUUCCUAAAGCAAAUUGCAUUGAUGAGAUGGAUCGUUUGAUUUGGAUGGAUCGAUUGAUUUGUUUCCUUAAAAUUGGAUUUUUCUUUAAAGUCUGUUAUUUGUUUCCUUAAAAUUUAUUAUAUGUUUCCUAAAUCAAAUUGCAUUGAUGGGAGGGUGACGCAUGGAAAGUUAUGAUUCGUUAAGAUUUUUUUCGUUGUGUGAGAGGGUGACGCGAAACUAAACCGGUGGGGUAGGGGAGGGACGAAAAAAACCAGGGAAAUGAAACGGGUGGGAGGUGGGAGGAAGUACCAAAGAAGUACCAAAAAAACCGGGUGAGGUGGGACGAAAAAAAAUCUGGAAGCGAGACUACCAACUGCUCCAUUAGGAGUAGAGACUAAGCUCCCACCAAAUCCAGCCUCCUGGUGAAUCGCAGCUAGCGAGGGAUUUAUCAGCGGACGACUCUGUCGCUGUCCCGUGGCCCCCAAUCGUCUGUAGUCGGUUUACUUCUGUCAUACCUAUCCCAUGAAUACCGACCCAAACCACGCACGGCUGGACGUAGUCUUCUUCUUUUUCUCUAGAAAUAUUUUCUUCAUGUCCCUCCCUCGCCCAGCCCCGGCAGCCACCGACCAUCUCCUCCAUCACCGCACCUCUUUGCCGCCACCCCAAUCUAGAUCCGAGCCGAGCAACCUUCGGAUCUGUCUUUUACCAACGAACCCUGCGUUCUGGUGUGUCGAGACUGGUGAGUGCCGCUCGAUCCCCACCUGUAAGUUUUGGUUCACUUGCAGGGGUCGUGGCUCGCGGUGGUUGACGUCUUCGUGUUUCUCGUCGUGGUGGGCUUGCCCAACUGCUUACAACAUCUUCCAUGCCUCAUCUCCCAUGACCCCUCGCUCACGGAGGAGAGAUUGCGGCUGAAGGGAGGCAUAGCUUGAACGGGGUUCGUGGAUGAGGAAGGGGACUCGACAGCGCAGAGCUGGUGACGAAGGAGCAAGUCCGUAACGGUGUAGCUCGCGGCGGAGGAGGCUGGGGAUCCCGGACGAGGGAGGGACGGGUCCCGGUGGUUGCGGUGGCCGGAGGGCGGUCACAUCGUGGCCCUUCCAGGUAUCCUCUAAUUUCAUGGACAAUUCUUCUUGACGCGAGGGGAAACCUUCAUCUACAGUUAAAUAUUUUCUUCUUUAUAGACUUCAUGUUUUCCUUGGAUUUUGUCUAAAUGUCUUGGGAGUACAUAUAAUGGUGUGGGUAAAUAGUUGGUUUUUGGACUUCAUGUUGUAUUGCAUGAUCCCAUGGAAUGAGAUUCAUUUUGGUGAUCAUUUGUAUUCAAAGAAUGUUACUGAUACAAUUUUGUGACCGUUUUGGACUGUAAGAAACCACUGGAUGUUAAGGGGAAGUACCAAUCAGGCUUGUGCCUCUUCUGUACAUGUAUGCUCUGGAUGCCUUUUUUGUACGUGUAUGCUCGGGUUAUUUACUAAUUGUAUAUGUGCUAGACCUUCCUGAUGGUCCAUUGCCAGACAUAGAAAGGCUACAAAUUUGAUUUUUUGUCAAGUCUUGUGAUCUUAGCUUCUUGGAAAGACUGAGUUUCCACUUAUCUAAUGUGCUAAAUGAUCUCCAGCUAACUUCUGUAUAUUGAUUGAUACACCUCUCAGUUAAUAAGUAAAUAUCCUGUUGGCCACAAGACCGAGCUUCCAAUUUUUGUAUAUCCUUAACUGAAUGCAUCCUUAUGUUAUAUCAUGUUCGUUCUAAAAUGCAACAGUAUUGGUAGGGUGCUCAAUCAAAUUCCUCUGCUGGCUUGGUUAGUUCUUGAUACUAACAUGGAUAGACUUUUAAGUGCAUAGGUACUCACUUAAUUUCUACUGAGCUAUAAUGGCCAAAAACAGUAGCGCACAGAUCCUUAAUCCAAGCAAUAAAAUUUAAGCCGAGGGGAACAAGUAGUAUAUAUGAUCUAUUUACUCGCAUGUAUGUGUUGAGAUUGUGGUUGAGAUGGCAAUUCUGCCGUGCAGCAAUAACAUCCCAUUCAUCCUCAUCGACUUGCACAGUUACGACGUUGACUCGAUCGGACUCGGCGUCGGUGUACCCCCGACAUCUAUAGUGUGUUUGAUAAUGUGAUGCUAACGUCGAUUUUGUUUCUUCGUACGCAGGCGGCGGAAGGGGCUUUGAGAUCUCCAAGUUGGAGAAGGGGAAGUGUCCUCUGAUGCUGCAACCAAGGGAAAUGACACCAGGUGAUUUGUUCUUCUCUGUCAUAGAUUUUGUAUUUUUUUCGAGGAGUUGAUCACUUGUGUGUGUGAAGAAUUGAGUACACGCGGAUUGGUAGGAUUGAAAGAGAUUGCACUGAGCUAAUAAUGCAUUUUUUGUUUAAUAGCUAGAGUAUAAUUCCAUUCAGCUGGCAAUUAUCCAUGUAGUCAUGUAAGCUAUUGCCUAUAUGACUUAAGGUGUGGUGCAUUUAUUAAUCAUUAUUAUGAUAACUAAGAUUAACAUAAGUUAUUCAGACAUAUUUAUGAAUCUCAACUAAGAUAAGCUUAUUUGCAAUAUAUGCAAAUACUCCCUCUGUAAACAAAUAAAAGACGUUUUAGGUAUGAUAUUUGCAGAGGGAGUAGUAUAUAUCAAGAGAACAUCUGUUGGUAUGAUAUUUGCAUCACUUAAGUUAUUAUGGUUCUUUCAUGUCACAUCCUGAUUUUCAUGCCACAACACUUAAGCUAAUAAAUCAUGACAAAUUGUGGUUUGACAAAAACUUUUGAGUGUUUAGGUCUUUGCUUGAUUUGAUUUUGUGUGUUGGUUGCAAGUGCUCUAAAGAUCAAAUAAAUCCUCCAACUCUUAUACUCCUUCUCCUUCAUCCAAAACCUUGCCCAAUGAUCAUGUCAUGUGUGUUGGACAUAAAAAUAAUUUCUUGCAGAAAUAUUUUGGCCAAAAAGUAUUUUCUAAAUUAGGUUUUCCAAAACCCCCUGAAUUGAGACUUGAACUACAAGUACUUAAUUAAGGGUGUGAAAAAUCUUUAAAAAAUUAUAUUUGACUCCUAUUAGAUAUAGGACACCCAGAAACCACAAAAAUAUAAUUUUAGAAGUUAUUUUCCUAUUUUAUUUAAAGGCUUUUUCUUUAGGCCAGAAAUGGUCUUUAAUAGGUUAAACUUAUUUUUAAGCUUCAAAAAUAUUUUAGAAAAAUCAGGGAAACUCAGUGGAUAUAUAUUUUCCAUACAUAAGAGUUUCAGCACAUGGUCAUGUUCAAAAUAUUGGUCAAAUCCCUCAAAAACCCUUUCUGGAUAUUUCAAGCUUUUGAAACAUUUACAAAGGAAAUAUUCUCAAAAAAUUCCAAGACAAUUCUAGCAUGUCACAUAUGACAUGUUUGAUUAUCUUGCCAAGUAUCAUGUCAUGAAGAAUAUUAUAACCCCAUGAAAUCCCCUCAAAACCAUUUCUGUCCAUUUUGAAGUUUGAGCAACUUUAUAUUACCAAACAUGUCCAAAUAUUGUCAAACCUUGUGAACAUGCGAAAAUGGUCUAUUUAUUCAUCUAGACCAAAUGUCACAAGUUGGAGAGAAUGAUAUCUUGAUCAAAGUGCCCCAAAACCCUCUCUGUCCAGAACCAAAUUUGAACAACUUUACAUUGGCAACUUUCUCCUUUUGAUCUCAACUUUUGUGGACAUGUUCAGAACCUCAAAUGAUGACACUAAACUAAGUGGUGCAUCAAGGAGAAUAGCUUUGCAUGACUAAAUCUUGAAAAGUCCAUUUCUGUUGAUUUCUAGGGUUUACAAAAGUUGCAUUGGCAACUUUGCCCAAAUAGAUUAAAUCUUGGUGGAACCACUUGUUUUCUUAUGCCAUUUGGCCCUGUCAAGCCUUAUGGCAAGAGGAGUUCAUCUGCUUGCCCAAAUAAACAACAAACACCUUCUGCGAUUUUUCUAAAAACACUAAUUUGACCACUUCCACUAAUCUCCAUGAGUUCCCCUUUUUACCACCACCCCUCCUAGUUCCCCUCUACCUCUGGUGUGCUCCCCGGCCCGAGAGGCAAUGAUGAAGGGGGGCAGGGAUCCACUUUUCUUCUCUGGACAGCACCAUUUCCACUCUCUCUCAACUCCCUCUCCCCUCCAGUGGAUCCCCAGGGCAUCCAAUGCCAUUGCCACAUUUUUUACUCCCCACUUCCGCUGCCAGACGCAAGUGGACACGGCAGAGCAUGCAAAACACGAUCAUGCCGGCCAAAAGCUUGCUCUGGGGCGCGCUACAGUGGCGUCCGAGCCUUGCCACCACGCUCUCAUCCACCUCGGGCCGCCCAAGCGCGCUAGUCGACGCGCCUCGGCGUUCGCAUCACGCCAGCGGGCCUCCAACUUGCCCCCGCGCCCUCCUCUCGCCUCUGCGACGCGUGCCCGAGCGCCGCCCGCGUCCGCCAGUGGCUGCUCGCGUCCCUGGCCCGCCUCGCGCUCGCUCCUCUCUCCCUCUCUCCUUCCCUUGACCUGGACCACGCCCACGAGCACCUCAGACACGCCCCAAAGCGCCCGUUUGGCCCCUGGCAACGCCCCGGGCCGUGGCCGUGCACCCCGCCUACGGCACCUCCCCGUCGCGCCUGUAUAGGGCCACCCUCGAGCCUUCUCUUGUCUCCAACUGCUCUCUCUCCCUCUUGCGCAUCCUUUGACCGACCCACUGCUCUUCCCGUGCUCUCCUUGCACCUCCAUGGCCGGAGCAGUGCCGCCGGCCGCCGCUUAAAUUCUUGGGCCUUGACCCCUCUCUCUUCCCCAUGAACACUCCCGCACCCUCUCAUCACCACCGCCAACUCACCUGGUGCUCCAUCUCCUCCUCCUCGUGCCUUCCUCGCCGUGUCGAACCCCGCCAUCACCUGUUCCUGCCGCGGCCAAGAACUCGCUCGCUCUGGCGCUCCCCGGUGGAAACUAGGUCCCCAGGUGGACGCGGCCCAUCCUCCCGAGCUCGCCGGAGUCCGGGCAGUCGCCGGAGGUGGCCGGAGCCACCGGAACGACGCCGACAAGCACUCGGCCCUGCCUCCUCUGCCUCCACCGUCGCACGCGGGAGGAGGGAGACGACCCUGCGGGUGGACCCCGCAGGUCAGUGACCCCGUCAGCGGGCCCCUCCAUUUAAGUGGAGACACACUUGGAAAAUACGCCUCCGGCAUGGACCCUGCGCGCGUGCGACUGAACCGAUGGGCCGGCCCAGUUGCGCCUCGGCGCUAAACCCCGCCCAGUGCGCGCUGCCGCCGAUAGAUUUGGCCCAUUUAGGUAAAUCCCUUUUCUUUUCUUUUUCUGUGGACUGGUAAAAUCCAUAGAAUAUUCAAAAUAACUCAAAACUUGAUGAUUCAAAUUUCUAGUAGUUCAUAAAAUCAUGCCCUAUAACAUGGUGCUAUUUGCCACCUUUUCCAGAAACAUUUCCUUCACAAAUAUUUAUCAAAUCCCCUUUUUAUAAUUUUUGUGAUGAAGUUUAGAAAAUCAUAAGAGCUUGUAUUUGGUCCAAAUGCCAUGAUUCCAAUUUAUUGAUACAUCUAAGUUCAUAAUUUAGGUUAUGAACAUUUAUCUUAAUACUUUCUGUGCCCCACAAAAUAAUGAACCAUUUCUUCAUGAUUGUCAACUUUGCAAAUCCAUAGGAUAUUCAUUUGGACUCCAAAUCCAGUGAAACCAAAUCCUAGAUGCUUCUAAAAUCAUCCUUUGUUAAAUGGGUAUCUUUGCUCAUUUUUCAAAAAUACAUUUCUGUACACUUCUUGCAAAUCUAUAAACCCCUUGAUUCCAUCAUAUCAAAAUGUAUAGAGAUAUCCACUGACCCAAUUCCAAUGAAACCAGUUUGGUUAUUUUUCAUAUAACUAGAGAUGCCCUAGAAAAGUCAAAUCAAUAUUUUUAGAGCAUUUUUAUUUUUUGCCUUGUUGUGUUGCUUACUAUGAUUGUUUCCAACGUUAGUUGACGAAGUAGACGAAAUACUCGGAGACGGACCAGAAGACUUUGAAGACCCAGAAGACCUUGCUAAACCAGGCAAGUAGCCCUUUGACCAUGAUGAACCAUUUUACAUCAUAAUAGCAUUUUUGUUGCUUCACUGAGUGCAUGAUAUACUUUGAAUGGUAACCUUGCUAGGCUUGCCUCUGUUGCAUACUCCAUUGAUACUUGCAUUGAUCAUGACUCUACCCUUGCUUAGAGUUGUGUUGGUGGGUUGUAGAAAUACGCUAUAGUAGAUGGCUACGCAAUGUGGGUCAGGGUUAUGCAUGGAAAGAAACAAGUGUGGUUUGGCAUACUUGCAAACAGCCCCAGUGGGUGCCACUGAUGCCCCUGGGAGAUGAUGAUGAACUAGGUCACUACUUGGUGGAGAAGUAGUGUACCGAGGUUUGAUUAAAGUGUUGUUUACAGAGAUGGAUUAGAUUUAAGAUUUGUCGACUGUCCCAACCUUACAUGCGCAACCACUCUACCCUUAUAUGGGAAAGGGCAUUAUUGAUUACCUAGGCCGAUACUAGCUUGGAGCCUGCAUUACUAGUAACGGGAGAGUCAUUGUUGCGCUCUCUUGGGACGGGGUCGUGCCAGGUAGGGCGGCCAUGACUGUUUUCACAGGGCACCGGAUACAACGUUGGUACCCCGUGCUUGUGGUAUGUGAUGAAUAUGGGAGCGAGGCUCCACAAUUUUAAGAUGUGAAAUGUUGGGCACGGGGGUUACUACCAAUCAAGUGGACUCUAUGUUAGUGUGUUCUAGGGAAAGAUAGUGAUUGGGUGCUUUCCCCGGGUACUUGAGGUAUCGCGGGUCGUGGAUGACACGAAAGUUCCCCGGAUCUUGUGGGUAAAGUAUGAAACCUCUGCAGAGUGUAAAACUAUUCGAAUAGCCGUGUCCAUGGUCAAGGACAGUUGGGUGGUGCUGCUUAGACUAUGUCCAUAUGUUUCUAGAAAACAACACGGUUUGGUAAAUCUGUUGACGUGAUUCAUGAGGAAGUCACGUUGAGCUUGAGCAUGAGUUGUGUUGGGGAACGUAGCAGAAAUUCAAAAUUUUCUAUGCAUCACCAAGAUCAAUCUAUGGAGUAACUAGCAUCGAGAGAGAGAGGAGAGUGCAUCUUCAUACCCUUGAAGAUCGCGAUGCAGAAGCGUUGCAAGAACGCGGUCGGUGGAGUCGUUCACUAAGCGAUUCAGAUCGUGGCCGAAUCCGAUCUAAGCACCGAACAACGGUGCCUCCGCGUUCAACACACGUACAGCCUGGGGACGUCUCCUCCUUCUUGAUCCAGCAAGGGGAGAGGAGAAGUUGAGGGAGAGCUUCGGCAGCACGACGGCGUGGUGGUGGAGCUUGCAGUUCUGCGGCAGAGCUUCCCCAAGCACUACGGAGGAGGAGGAGGUGUUGGGGAGAGAGAGGGCCGCGCCAGGGGAAGGGUCAAGCUCCCAUGCACCUCCCCACUAUAUAUAGGGGUGGAGGGGGCUGGUUUCUUGCCCUCCAAGUGCAUUGGGGCAUUGGCAAAGGUGGGAGGAAAGAAAUCCCAUCAUUUCCUUCCCCACCGAUUGUUAUCCCCCCUUUUUAGGGAUCUUGAUCUUAUCCCUUCGGGAUAUGAUCUUAUUCCUUCUAAGGGGGGAUCUUGGUGCGCCUUGACCAGGGGUGUGGGGCCUUGCCCCCACUACCCACGUUCAUGUGGGUCCCCCCAUGUAGGUGGGCCCCACUCCGGAACCUUCUAGAACCUUCCCGGUACAAUACCGAAAAAUCCCGAACAUUUUUCGGUGGCCAAAAUAGGACUUCCCAUAUAUAAAUAUUUACCUCCGGACCAUUCCGGAACUCCUCGUGACGUCCGGGAUCUCAUCCGGGACUCCGAACAACAUUCGACAAUUGCACACUAAUUCCCAUAAUAACUCUAGCGUCACCGAACCUUAAGUGUGUAGACCCUACGUGUUCUGGAAUCAUGCAGACAUGACCGAGACAGCUCUCUGGCCAACAACCAACAGCGGGAUCUGGAUACCCAUGUUGGCUCCCACAUGUUCCAUGAUGAUCUCAUCGGAUGAACCACGAUGUCAAGGAUUCAAGCAAUCCCGUAUACAAUUCCCUUUGUCAAUCGGUACGUUACUUGCCCGAGAUUCGAUCGUCGGUAUCCCAAUACCUCGUUCAAUCUCGUUACCAGCAAGUCACUUUACUCGUUCCGUAAUGCAUGAUCCCGUGACCAACUACUUAGUCACAUUGAGCUCAUUAUGAUGAUGCAUUACCGAGUGGGCCCAGAGAUACCUCUCCGUCACACGGAGUGACAAAUCCCAGUCUCGAUUCGUGCCAACCCAACAGACACUUCCGGAGAUACCCGUAGUGCAUCUUUAUAGCCACCCAGUUACGUUGUGACGUUUGGCACACCCAAAGCAUUCCUAUGGUAUCCGGGAGUUGCACAAUCUCAUGGUCUAAGGAAAUGAUACUUGACAUUAGAAAAGCUUUUAGCAAAUGAACUACACGAUCUUGUGCUAUGCUUAGGACUGUGUCUUGUCCAUCACAUCAUUCUCCUAAUGAUGUGAUCCCGUUAUCAAUGACAUCCAAUGUCCAUGGUCAGGAAACCAUAACCAUCGAUUGAUCAACGAGCUAGUCAACUAGAGGCUCACUAGGGACAUGUUGUGGUCUAUGUAUUCACACAUGUAUUACUGUUUCCAGUUAAUACAAUUAUAGCAUGAACAAUAGACAAUUAUCAUGAACAAGGAAAUAUAAUAAUAACCAUUUUAUUAUUGCCUCUAGGGCAUAUUUCCAACAGUGUCCCACUUGCACUAGAGUCAAUAAUCUAGUUCACAUCACUAUGUGAUUGUAAUGAAUCCAACACCCAUUGGGUUUGAUCAUAUCUCGCUUGUGAGAGAGGUUAUUAGUCAACGGGUCUGAAUCUUUUAGAUUCGUGUGUGCUUUACAAAUAUCUAUGUCAUCUCCUAGAUGCAGCUACCACACGAUAUUUGGAACUAUUCCAAAUAACUGCUCUACUAUACGAAUCCGGUCUACUACUCAGAGUCAUCCAGAUUAGUGUCAAAGUUUGCAUCGGCGUAACCCUUUACGACGAACUCUUUUACCACCUCCAUAAUCGAGAAAAUUCCUUAGUCCACUAGUUAGUAAGGAUAACCUUGACCGCUGUCCUAUGAUCAAUUCCUAGAUCACACUUGUACCCCUUGACUGACUCAUGGCAAGGCACACUUUAGGUGCGGUACACAACAUAACAUACUGUGGAGCCUACGUCUAAAGCAUAGGGGACGACCUUCAUCCUUUCUCUCUCUUAUGCUGUGGUCAGGUCUUGAGUCUUACUCAAUACUCACACCUUAUAACACAGCCAAGAAUUCCUUCUUUGCCGAUCUAUUUUGAACUCCUUCAAAAUCUUGUCACAGUGCAUACUCAUUUGAAAGUACUAUCAAGCGAUUUUGAUCUAUCCUUAUAGAUCUUGAUGCUCAAUGUUCAAGUAGCUUAAUCCAGGUUUUCCAUUGAAAAACACUUUUCAAAUAACCCUAUAUGCUUUCCAGAAAUUCUACAUCAUUUCCGAUCAACAUAUGUUAACAACGUAUACUCAUCAGAAAUGCUAUAGUGCUCCCACUCACUUCUUUGGAAAUACAAGUUUCUCAUAAACUUUGUAUAAACCCAAAAUCUUUGAUCAUCUCAACAAAGCGUAUAUUCCAACUCCGAGAUGCUUACUCCAGUCCUUAGAAGGAUUGCUGGAGCUUUGCAUACUUGUUAGCAUCUUUUAGGAUUGACAAAACCUUCUGGUUGUAUCACAUACAACCUUUCCUCAAGAAAAUCAUUGAGGAAACAAUGUUUUGACAUCCUAUCUGCAAGAUUUCAUAAAUAAUGCAAGAACUGCUAAUAUAAUUUCAACAGACUCUUAGCAUCGCUACGAGUGAGAAAGUCUCAUCGUAGUCAACUCCUUGAACUUGUCGGUAAACAUCUUAGCGACAAGUCGAGCUUUCUUAAUGGUGACACUUACCAUCAUUGUCCGUCUUCCCUUCUAAAAUCCAUCUGUACCCAACAGCCUUACGACCAUCAAGUAGUUCUUCCAAAGUCUACACUUUGUUUUAUACAUGGAUCCUCUCUCGGAUUUUAUGGCCUCGAGCCAUUUGUCGGAAUCCGAGCCCACCAUCGCUUCUCCACAGCUUGUAGGUUCAUUGUUAUCUAGCAACAUGACCUCCAAGACAGGAUUACCAUAUCACUCCGAAGCAGUACGCGUCCUUGUCGACCUACGAGGUUUGGUAGUGACUUGAUCCGAAGUUUCAUGAUCACUAUCAUCAGCUUCCACUUCAACUGGUGUAGGCGCCACAGGAACAACUUCCUGUGCCAUGCUAUAGAUUGGUUGAAGUGAUGGUUCAAUAACCUCAUCAAGUCUCCACCAUCCUCCCACUCAAUUCUUUCAAGAGAAACUUUUCCUCAAGAAAGGACCCGUUCUAGAAACAAUCACUUUUGCUUCCAGAUCUGAAAUAGGAGGUAUACCCGACUGUUUUGGGUGUCCUAUGAAGAUGCAUUUAUCCGCUUUGGGUUUGAGCUUAUCAGGCUAAAACUUUUCCACAUAAGCUUCACAGCCCAAACUUUUAAGAAAUGACAGCUUAGGUUUCUCUAAACCAUAGUUCAUAUGUUGUCAUCUCAACGGAAUUACGUGGUGCCCUAUUUGAAGUGAAUGCGGUUGUCUCUAAUGCCUAACCCAUAAACGGUAGUGGUAAUUCGGUAAGAGACAUCAUGGUAUGCACCAUAUCCAAUAGGGUGCAGCUAUGAUGUUCGGACACACCAUCACACUAUGGUGUUCCAGGCGGUAUUAGUUGUGAAACAAUUUCCACAAUGUCUUAAUUGUAUACCAAACUCAUAACUCAGAUACUCAUCUCUAUGAUCAUAUCAUAGACAUUUUAUCCUCUUGUCACGACGAUCUUCAACUUCACUCUGAAAUUACUUGAACCUUUCAAUAAUUCAGACUUGUGUUUCAUCAAGUAAAUAUACUCAACAUCUAAAUCAUCUGUGAAGUAAGAACAUAACAAUAUCCACUGCGUGCCUCAGCACUCAUUGGACUGCGCACAUCAAAAUGUAUUACUUCCAACAAGUUGCUUUCUUGUUCCAUCUUACUGAAAAUGAGGCUCUUCAAUCAUCUGGCCCAUGUGGUAUGAUUUGCAUGUCUCAAGUGAUUCAAAAUCAAGUGAGUCCAAAUGAUCCAUCUGCAUGGAGUUUCUUCAUGCGUAUACACCAAUAGACAUGGUUCGCAUGUCUCAAUCUUUUCAAAAAUGAGUGAGUCCAAAGAUCCAUCAACAUGGAGCUUCUUCAUGCAUUUUAUACCAAUAUGACUCAAAUGGCAGUGCCACAAGUAUGUGGUACUAUUAUCACUAUCUUAUAUCUUUUGGCAUGAACAUGUGUAUCACUACGAUCGAGAUUCAAUAAACCAUUCAUUUUAGGUGCAAGACCAUUGAAGGUAUUAUUCAAAUAAACAGAGUAACUAUUAUUCUCCUUAAAUGAAUGACCGUAUUGCGAUAGACAUAAUCCAAUCAUGUCUAUGCUCAACACAAACACCAAAUAACAAUUAUUUAGGUUUAACACCAAUCUCGAUGGUAGAGGGAGUGUGCGAUGCUUGAUCACAUCAAGCUUGGAAACACUUCCAACACAUAUCGUCGUCUCACCUUUAGCUAGUCUCCGUUUAUUCCGCAGCUUUUAUUUCGAGUUACCAACACUUAGCAACCAAACCGGUAUCUAAUACCCUGGUGCUACUAGGAGUACUAGUAAAGUACACAUUAAUAUAAUGUAUAUCCAAUAUACUUCUAUCAACCUUGCCAACCUUCUCAUCUACCAAGUAUCUAGGGUAGUCCUGCUUCAGUGACCGUUCCCCUCAUUACAGAAGCACUUAGUCUCAGGUUUGGUUUCAACCUUGGGUUUCUUCACUAGAGCAGCAACUGAUUUGCCAUUUCAUGAAGUAUCCCUUCUUGCCCUUGCCCUUCUUGAAACUAGUGGUUUCACUAACCAUCAACAAUUGAUGCUCCUUCUUGAUUUCUACUUUCGCGGCGUCAAACAUCGCGAAUAUUUCAAGGAUCAUCAUAUCUAUCCCUGAUAUGUUAUAGUUCAUCACAAAGCUCUAGCAGCUUGGUGGAAAUGACUUUGGAGAAACAUCACUAUCUCAUCUGGAAGAUUAACUCCCGCUCGAUUCAAGUGAUUGUUGUACUCAGACAAUCUGAGCACAAGCUCAACGAUUGAGCUUUUCUCCCUUAGUUUGCAGGCUAAGAAACUCGUCGGAGGUCUUAUACCUCUUGACGUGGGCACGAGCCUGAAAUCCCAAUUUCAGCCCUCGAAACAUCUCAUAUGUUCCGCACGUUUCGAAAUCGUCUUUGUUGCCUCAAUUCUAAACCGUUUAACAUUACUGAACUAUCAUGUAGUUAUCAAAAUGUGUAUGUCAGAUGUUCGCAACAUCCACAGACGACGUUCGAGGUUCAGCACACCGAGUGGUGCAUUAAGGACAUAAGCCUUCUACGCAGCAAUGAGGACAAUCCUUAGUUUACGGACCCAGUCCGCAUAAUUGCUACUAUCAACUUUCAACUACAUUUUCUCUAGGAACAUAUCUAAAACACUAGAACUAAAGCGCGAGCUGCGACAUAAUUUGCAAAAACCUUUUGACUAUGUUUAGGACAAUUAAGUUCAUCUUAUGAACUCCCACUCAGAUAGAGAUCCCUCUAGUCAUAUAAGUGAUACAUGAUCCCAGUCAACUAGGCCGUGUACGAUCAUCACGUGAGACGGACUAGUCAUCAUCGGUGAACAUCUUCAUGUUGAUUGUAUCCACUAUACAACUCAUGUUCGACCUUUCGGUCUCUUGUGUCCCAAGGCCAUGUCUGUACAUGCUAGGCUCGUCAAGUCAACCUAAGUGUUUCGCGUGUGUAAAUCUGGCUUACACCCGUUAUAUGUGAACGUUAGAAUCUAUCACACCCGAUCAUCACGUGGUGCUUCGAAACAACGAACUUUCGCAAUGGUGUACAGUUAGGGGGAACACUUUCUUGAAAUUAUUAUGAGGGAUCAUCUUAUUUACUACCGUCGUUCUAAGCAAAUAAGAUGCAUAAACAUGAUAAACAUCACAUGCAAUCAAAUAGUGACAUGAUAUGGCCAAUAUCAUUUUGCUCCUUUUGAUCUCCAUCUUCGGGGCUCCAUGAUCAUCAUCGUCACCGGCAUGACACCAUGAUCUCCAUCAUCAUAUCUCCAUGAAGUUGUCUCGCCAACUAUUACUUCUACUACUAUGGCUAACGGUUUAGCAAUGAAGUAAAGUAAUUACAUGGCGUUAUUCAGUGACGCGCAGGUCAAACAAUAAAUAAAGACAACUCCUAUGGCUCCUGCCGGUUGUCAUACUCAUCGACAUGCAAGUCGUGAUUCCUAUUACAAGAACAUGAUCAAUCUCAUACAUCACAUAUAUUUCAUUCAUCACAUCCUUUUUGGCCAUAUCACAUCACACGGCAUAUGCUGCACAAACAAGUUAGACGCCCUCUAAUUAUUGUUGCAAGUUUUUUACGUGGCUGCUAUAGGUUUCUAGCAAGAACGUUUCUUACCUACGUUAAAACCACAACGUGAUAUGCCAAUUGCUAUUUACCCUUCAUAAGGACCCUUUUCAUCGAAUCCAAUCCGACUAAAGUGGGAGAGACUGGCACCUGCUAGCCACCUUAUGCAACAAGUGCAUGUCAGUCGGUGGAACCUGUCUCACGUAAGUGUACGUGUAAGGUCGGUCCGGGCCGCUUCAUCCCACAAUACCGCCUAAACAAGAUAGGACUAGUAAGGGUAAGCAUAUUGAACAAAAUCAACGCCCACAACUACUUGUGUUCUACUCGUGCAUAGAAUCUACGCAAUAGACCUAGCUCAUGAUGCCACUGUUGGGGAACGUAGCAGAAAUUCAAAAUUUUCUAUGCAUCACCAAGAUCAAUCUAUGGAGUAACUAGCAACGAGAGAGAGGGGAGUGCAUCUUCAUACCCUUGAAGAUCGCGAUGCGGAAGCGUUGCAAGAAUGCGAUCGGUGGAGUCGUUCACUAAGCGAUUCAGAUCGCGGUCGAAUCCGAUCUAAGCACUGAACAACGGUGCCUCCGCGUUCAACACACGUACAGCCCAGGGACGUCUCCUCCUUGAUCCAGCAAGGGGAGAGGAGAAGUUGAGGGAGAGCUCCGGCAGCACGACGGUGGUGGUGGAGCUUGCAGUUCUCCGGCAGAGCUUCGCCAAGCACUACGGAGGAGGAGGUGUUGGGGAGGGAGAGGGCUGCGCCAGGGGAAGGGUCAAGCUCCCAUGCGCCUCCCCGCUAUAUAUAGGGGUGGAGGGGGCUGGUUUCUUGCCCUCCAAGUCCAUUGGGGCGUUGGCAAAGGUGGGAGGAAAGAAAUCUCAUCAUUUCCUUCCCCACCGAUUGUUAUCCCCCUUUUUUAGGGAUCUUGAUCUUAUCCCUUCGGAAUAUGAUCUUAUUCCUUCUAAUGGGGGAUCUUGGUGGGCCUUGACCAGGGGUGUGGGGCCUUGCCCCCACUACCCACGUUCAUGUGGGUCCCCCCAUGUAGGUGGGCCCCACUCCGAAACCUUCUAGAACCUUCCCGGUACAAUACCGAAAAAUCCUGAACAUUUUCCGGUGGCCAAAAUAGGACUUCCCAUAUAUAAAUCUUUACCUCCGGACCAUUUCGGAACUCCUCGUGACAUCCGGGAUCUCAUCCGCGAAUCCGAACAACAUUCGGUAACUGCACACUAAUUCCCAUAACAACUCUAGCGUCACCGAACCUUAAGUGUGUAGACCCUACGGGUUCGGGAAUCAUGCAGACAUGACCGAGACAGCUCUCUGGCCAAUAACCAACAGCAGGAUCUGGAUACCCAUGUUGGCUCCCACAUGUUCCACGAUGAUCUCAUCGGAUGAACCAUGAUGUCAAGGAUCCAAGCAAUCACGUAUACAAUUCCCUUUGUCAAUCGGUACGUUACUUGCCCGAGAUUCGAUCGUUGGUAUCCCAAUACCUCGUUCAAUCUCGUUACCGGCAAGUCACUUUACUCGUUCCGUAAUGCAUUGUGACGCCCUCGAUUCAAUCGUACACUAAUCAUACACGCAAAUGUGUACGAUCAAGAUCAAGGACUCACGGGAAGAUAUCACAACACAACUCUAGACACAAAUUGAAAUAAUACAAGCUUUAUAUUACAAGCCAGGGGCCUCGAGGGCUCAAAUACAUAAGCUUGAAAACACAAGAGUCAGCGGAAGCAACAAUAUCUGAGUACAGACAUAAGUUAGACAAGUUUGCCUUAAGAAGGCUAGCACAAAAGCAACAUUAAUCGAAAAGGCAAGGCCUCCUGCCUGGGAGCCUCCUAACUACUCCUGGUCAUCACGGUCUUCAUGAGGUAGUAGGCACCCUCGUGGUAGUAGUAGUCGUCGUCGAAGGUGGCGUCUGGCUCCUGGACUCCACCAUCUGGUUGCAACAACCAGAAAGAAGAAAGAAGGGGGAAAAGGGGUAGCAAAGCAACCGUGAGUACUCAUCCAAAGUACUCGCAAGCAAGGAUCUAAACUACAUAUGCAACAUUAUCAAAGAAAGGUUGUAUAUGUGGACUGGGCUGCAGAAAUGCCAGAAUAGAGAGAAGGCCUAGUCCUAUCGAAGACUAGCGUCUUUUGGAAACCACCAUCUUGCAGCAAACAGGAGGGAGUAGAGUAGCAUAAGGUAAAGUAGUAGUAGUGUUAUCAACCUCGGCCAGAGAUCCUUUCUCGACUCCCUGCGAGGAAGCAAUCCCAGAGCCAUACUAUCCAAUUAUCAUCACAAUUCAAUUCUCAUCACCAUCCAAUUCUCAUCACAAGUAUCCAGUUCUAGUUGUAUCGAUCGGGAUACAACUCCAAGUGUCCGUUACCGUAGGACAGGCUAUCGAUAGAUGUUUUCUUCCCUGCAGGGGUGCACCAACUUACCCACCACGCUUGAUUAACUCCGGCCGGACACACUUUCCUGGGUCAUGCCCGGCCUCGGCCAAACAAUACGCCGCAACCCGACCUAGGCUUAAUAGAGAGGCCAGCACGCCGGACUAAACCUAUGCCCCCAGGGGUCAUGGGCCAUCUCCCCGAGAACUCCUGCAUGUUGCAUACGCGGCCGGUGAGCAGACCUAGCUACCUCCUUCAACAAGGCAGGCGCUUACGCAGUCCAACCCGGCGCGCGCCGCUCAGUCACUGACGUCUACUAAGCUUCGGCUGAUGUAUACGACGCAGAACACCCAUACUAUGCCCACGUGAUGGUUAGUGCUAUCAGGCCAGAGGCCCCUCGGAUCAAAUAUCCAAAUCGUAGUGGAUUAGGAAUGCGCGGUAACAAGCAGAGACUCACGAAAGAUGUGACCCCGUUACCCCGUCUCGAGGACUUGCGGCAAGGGCUAAGAAUGCCCGGCCACGCCUCGUAAUUAUCUCUCGGGCACCUUCCAGGUCAACCCGACUCCACAUCACUCGCAAUUAUGCUCGCGCGGGUACCCCUCAAGGUCAACCCGUCUUUAGUAACAUGGUUCAGUGUAAAGCCAUAGUAACCAUAGUAACCAUGUGUCCAAACAUCAAGGGGAAAACCCGAGGAAUCACCCCCGGUGAAUUCUACUUGAUGUAAUCAUCAAGGUGAACGUAAGAGGGACCACCCUCGAGGUUCACACUUGAGUGGUUGCACGAUAGAGUCAUAUCAGAAGUGGUUAAAGAGGAAAUCACCCUCGAUGACCACGACCGAAUAGCUACACUACAGGGUUAACAUCAGAAGUGCUGUAGAGGUCUCACCCUCAGCACUCGAUAGUAACCUAGUAGUGUCGAGCAACUAAGGGGAAAGUGAUGUGCGGUGCCGGGGCCUGGUCUUCGAUCCCGUUGAUCGGGUCUUCAAUGAUGAAGCAGGGGCAACAAGGAUAAGGUGGGGGGUCACUGAUGGCUCACUAACCAACCUAUACUAAGCAGUUUAGGAUAAGCAGGUAAGGUAACAAUAAGCCGGUACAAAAGCAGGCUAUGCAUCAGAAUAGGAGCAAUCAAUAACAGUAGUAAAAUCUAAUGCAAGCAUAAGAGACUGGAAUGGGCGAUAUCGGGAUGAUCAAAGGGGGGCUUGCCUGGUUGCUCUGGCAAGGAGGGGUCGUCGUCGACGUAGUCGAUCACAGGGGCAGCAUCGGUCUCGGGGUCUAUCAGAGAGAAGAGGGGAAGAAACAGUAAAUAUAAAGCAAACAUAGCAUCACAAAGCAUAACGUGGCAAAAUGAUGUGCCGGGUGUGACCUAACGUAUGGCUACACGAUAAAGGUGAAGGGGGAAUUCAACCGGGAAUGUUUUCCCGGUUCCGGAGCUGUGUCAGACAGAUGACCGGAGGGGGAAUGUUCCAUGUUCAGAUAGUUAGAGGUAUCUGACAGGUAAACGGACCGCGUAUCCGGAUUCGACACGUUUUUCUGAGCAACUUUCAUGUAGAAAACAUUUUCAUCUGAGCUACGGUUUAAUUUCUAUGAAUUUUUAAAGUUUAAACCAUUUUCUGGAAUUAUUUAAAUUAACAGAAAAUGAAAUAUGACGCCAGCAGAGUGUCAGCAUGACAUCAGCAGGUCAACAGACCCGCUGACUGGUCAAACUGACCAGUGGGUCCCACAUGUCAUAGAGAGAGGGCUAACAGUGGGGUUAUUUUAAUUGAACAUGUGUUAGUUAGCAGUUGGGCCCCACAUGUCAGUCUCUAAAAUGCAACUAAUUCGGUUUUAAUUAAUAAAACGUUGGUUAAACUAAUUACGCGGUGGGGCCCAUAUGUCAGCGUCUCUGGGCUGCCCAGUCAGCAGUUGACUGGGUCAACCCAGUCAACUGGGACCCGCUGGGCCCAACGUCAGUGACUCAGGUGAUGGGGCCCACACAUCCAUGUUGGCGGCUGGGCCGGGGAGGGCUCCGGCGACCAAGGCGACGGCGGCGCCUCGCCGGAGUUGGCCGGGGCCGCGCUACAGGGGGCCUCCGGACCUACGGCUUGGACCUAAGGGCGCGGCCCGGCGCCGCGCACACGAUGGUGACGACGACCGGCAUCGGGGACGACUAGAGCAUCCCCGACGACGAGAAAGGCGGCAACGAGCUUCGGGCGUGUGAUGGCGAAGGCGAAGCAGCGUGCUAUGGAACGAAAGGAAAGGCUGGGGAGGAUCCCCGUGGUGCGGCGAGUCCAACGGGCUUGAGCCCGUGACCAAAAGUUCACCGAGCCUCGCCGGCGGCGAGCUCCACGGCGAUGCAUUUCGGAGCUCAUCGGGGACGAUGCUAGGAGGCACAGGAGGGAGCGUGCGCAUGCGCGUUGGGCUCCUGGGAACCCCAGGAGCACAACUGUGAGCUCAGGCGAGCGUGUCGACGGUCACAACGACGGUAACGAGCUCGUCGGCGGAUCUCGGCUCGGCCAUGGUGGGUCCAGCCGUUCUGGGCGCGUACGGGAGAAAAAGAGAGAGGGGGGGGGGGAGGAAAAGGGGCUCACCUUGCGGCACGCACGGUGGCCCUCGGCGGCUUAGUAGCAGCAGAGACGGCGCCGGAGACGAAGAUGGGCGGCGACGACCGGAGACGUGGACGAAAGGGAUCUGGCGCUUCGGUGCUCCCCAACUCCAGCUGAGGCCGCCGGUCGAUGGAGAGGACGACAGCAGAGCUCACCGUCAAGGUCAGCGGGCGCGGGGCCGCCGGUGGCCGCGACAACGACGGAGGGCGGCGGCGACUGCGCUCGGGCCGCGGAUCUGGAGGAGAGGAGGGCGGAGCGAGCGCGUGGGUGAGAGAAGAGAGAGAGAAAGGGGCAAGUGGGCGAGUGGGAGGCGUCGGGGCGGCCUUAUCCCCUCCCGUCGACGGCGAGGUGGUCCGGUGGCGACGCGCGGGCGCGCGCCCUCGGUCGGUUGGACAGUGGAAAGGGAGAGCGACGGCCCAGGGGGGUGUGGGCCGGCCUGUUGGGCCAGCUGGCUCGGGUGGGCUGAAGCCUGAGUGAGGCAGAGGGCCUCUCUCUCCCCUCUACUUCUCCUUUUCUUUUUUUCUUUUUGUUGUUUUUCUUUUUCUUUUCCAGCAGCUUUUGCAUUUUCUUUUAGCCACAAUUGACUUUGCAAAAUUAUGCCACUGGCCAAAACAAUUUCAAAGAAUUAAAGUGCACUGCCUCAAAAAGGUUGGGAGGCUUUUGGAAUAGUUGCCAAUUUUAUAAAUUAAAAAGGGCAUUUAAUUUAUUGCUAAGGUCACUGUUUUAAGUACUUUAGGCCACUUAAACCCUUUGCAAAAAUGUUGGUUUACCACCAAUAUUAGUUGUGGAAUAUUUGGCACAUGAUGAACAUUUUUGUUUUCAUGUUUGAGAAAUUUUGAAUUCCCCUCAUAAUUUGAAUUUGAAUUUGACUUUGAUUUUUCAUCAAGUGAUAAUUAGCUCAGUAAGCAUGGUGACCUGGCACCAUUAACAGGGGAUUACUGUAGUAUGACACUGUGAGGGUGUUACAAAUCUCCUCCACUACAAGAAAUCUCAUCCCGAGAUUUAAGUGGGAAAGAAAAGAGUAACUCCGGGAGAACUGACCCUUAUGGGUUUAAUUGUCUGGUGAGCAAUGCAGGUAAUGUGACAGAAGUAUCUCUCGAGUUGAAAUUUAAGAAUAACGUCGAGAGCAAAAUAUGAAGGUACAAUAAGAAGUUUCAUGCGGAUGGACAAUCGACCGAUACCUGAACAAAGUGUGAGAAGGGGUUCGGAGCAUCAGGAAUAGAUCAUCCCUCGGGGNNNNNNNNNNGAUACGAAGCCAAAUGCAAGAAUGUUUCGGAAUCAAAGAUAUACAGGAGAGUCAGGUUUCGAUCGUGUGGAACUGUGGGUUAUGGGCCCACCGUGUGGGUUAAAAGCAAGAAGGCACUAAAAUUUUGCACGGCCAUGAUAGCAAGGCAGGUCAUAGGAUAGCCUGCCAAUUAUGUUGGCAACAGCGUUGGUACCAAGGGCGAGGGACGAAGAGGACCAUUUUCCUGCUGAUAAUACGAGGCGGACCAAUAGGCAAAGUUUUCGUCCAUCGGUGGUUACCGGAAUGUCAUCAACAAUAGUAACAGGGUCUUACUGACAGAGUUGUACACCAAGGUGCUUACUUAAGCAGGGAUUUAUCUCUACUUAGACAAGUUAGAUGACAAGAAAGGUGAAACAAAACAAUGGAAAGGAAAAUGUGAUUAUUAUGAUAACCAGAGCAAUGAAAAGGAAAGAUGUUUAUACCCAAGUGUUAGAGUAUAACUUUCCCAAGGAAAGGCAGAGCAUGAUAGGGCUUCAAGUAUUAAGCCGUUUAGACAAAGGGGCAAGGAAUUUAUGAGGUUUACCCAUACAAUGGUGUUUGGAUAAUUGAUCAAGAACAAUUAGCAUUGCGCUCCCAAUGUUCUUGUUGAUGAUCGGAGUACCACACACAUGCUUCGGGAUAGUGUUGACAUGGCCAUCGGGGAAAUGUCAGACUUUGGAUACACAAAGGAUCCAUCGGAACAACUUAUAAAAUAAGUCAUACAAUUUCAACAAGGAAAAGAUGAGGAUGGGGCCCACGGGCUCAGCAACAAUUCAUCGAGGGGGUAAGGAUGGUAUUUCUCAUCAUGAAUUCGGUUGAUAUCCUAGAAAAGUUUGGAAUGAUGAUGAUGAUCACGACACAUUUGUCGAGAGGUUUCAUGAAGAUGUAAUCGAUCAACGACGACAUUAAGCAAAAGAAAUGAUGAAGUGUAAGGUUAAUUGAAUCACGAGUACGACACAAACUCGAAAGCAAGCUUGCUGUUCAUGGCAAAAUGGUAUGACGAGGAAGAUCGACAUAAGCUUAGCUCGUCGUCGAAAAUUGUGCUCCGGAAAGGACCUGGUAGCACAGUUAAAAUUUAGCAUGAUAAUGAUAUAACCGAUCAAGCUAGGAAUGAUGUGAUGGAGUAUCAUUCCAAUGAGAAUUCACAAGUGGUAGUGCAAUGACACAAUAUACUUGAGAUAACAAGGGGCAAUACUUGAGGUAGAUCAAAAAUAGAGGUUAGACAUAUGAAAUGAUCUACAGAAGACAAGUAUUUUAACUUGUCCGGGAAAUGGAGUUAAGGAGAAACUAUGGUUGGAACCACGGUUACGAAUGAUCAAACCACCGAUACAAUAUGAACUUAUAAAAAGGGGUAAUCAUAUUUACGAGCAGCUUCCACGAUAAGUUCUACAUCGGGUCCAUGGGCAUGAACAUAAGGGUUCAAGGUCGACUCCCACUUCUUCACUGCAUAACCUUUCAUUCACUCCUCGUUUUUCAAAGAAAAUGUAGUGCAGAGGAUUUAUCUGGCGAAGUACGAGAAGAGUAAGACUCGUGAGAACUCUCGGGUUCACUCGGAUUACGGAAGGCAUAAGUUGAACCCAUCGGGGCAUUUUUACGAAUCUAUACCACCAUCAACCAAGCAAAAGAUACGAGUUCGAAAGCAGAGUAUCGAAGUCAAAGCAGAUGAUACAAUAUACUGAAGGUAUUAUGUAUCAGGGAAAUACUGAUAAGAUAUUGGAUGUGAAGGACACUGUCAGAUAACAACCCAGCAAUGGAUUUGGCGAUUCACGACAGAGUUGAUGUGAGUAUCGGUAAUCAAUCAGAUGAAGAAGGGGAUGCAAAGGCAUUGGCUUAUAUAAAUGUCUGAAUGAUUCGAUGCUUGGGUACACAGGAAUUAUGAUUUCAAGACGAAGGAUCAGAAGCAGAGGCUCUGAUCAAAAGAUGAGUAAGUUGAAUAGACUUAGAGGUGCACCCGAUCAAAUCUUGAUUGGGCAAGAACCAACUCAUAUUCGAAACAAUGCCUGAGCCGGAAACAAAAUUUCCAAGGAUUAAUUGAUGAUCGUGUGCAUUCUCACACAUGCCGAAUCAAUAGGAUCAGAAUGUUAAUCCCAAAGGAUUUUAACGAAUAUCGCUAGACAAAUGGAAUUAACCAGAAAGCAAGUAUGCAAGAAUUCCAAGAGCAACAGGUUGUAGAGGAUUUUCGAAAGAUCAAAAUAGUAUUUCGAAGUAUUUUGUGAAUCACACGAACAACUGAGGAUGAACUGAUCCUCGGUGAGUGCAAGGAAUUAUUCGAAGGGGGGUAUUCAUGGGGCAAAGAACUGCAAGGCAGUAAGCUCAAAGGAUUCUCAAAACAAUAGAGAAUUUCGGGGCAUCUUGUAAUAUCAGGAGCAACUAGGAAUGAAGGUACAAGCGGCAAGGAUGUUAUUCAAGGGGAUUACCGGUGGUCAGGAACUGCAAGGCAGUUGGUACAGGGUCUCGAGAAACAUCGAGGAGUAUCCGUAGAAUCUUCUGGUGAAGCAAGCGAUCAUCGAUAAUGUCGAGGCUCUCUGGGAGGAAGUGGGUACGAGAACCUAAUGUCAGAGUUUAGUAAAAUGGUUAACCCAAAUAGAAGAGAGAUCAGAGUCCCAGAGUAUAGACGAGGAAUAAAAGAUCCUAAUACCACCCAAUGGCGACGUGGGCCCGUAAGCCACACAGCCAAUGUUAGUAAAAGUUUUUCAGUGACUAGACUCAACUUCGGCCAAGGAGUUGAAAAGGGGGCUACCUACAGGCAGUCGGCUCUGAUACCAACUUGUGACACCCUCGAUUUAAUCGUACACUAAUCAUACACGCAAAUGUGUACGAUCAAGAUCAAGGACUCACGGGAAGAUAUCACAACACAACUCUAGACACAAAUUAAAAUAAUACAAGCUUUAUAUUACAAGCCAGGGGCCUCGAGGGCUCGAAUACAUAAGCUCGAAAACACAAGAGUCAGCGGAAGCAACAAUAUCUGAGUACAGACAUAAGUUAGACAAGUUUUCCUUAAGAAGGCUAGCACAAAAGCAACAUUGAUCGAAAAGGCAAGGCCUCCUGCCUGGGAGCCUCCUAACCACUCCUGGUCAUCGUGGUCUUCAUGAGGUAGUAGGCACCCUCGUGGUAGUAGUAGUAGUCGUCGAAGGUGGCGUCUGGCUCCUGGACUCCACCAUCUGGUUGCAACAACCAGAAAGAAGAAAGAAGAGGGAAAAGGGGUAGCAAAGCAACCGUGAGUACUCAUCCAAAGUACUCGCAAGCAAGGAUCUACACUACAUAUGCAACAUUAUCAAAGAAAGGUUGUAUAUGUGGACUGGGCUGCAGAAAUGCCAGAAUAGAGAGAAGGGCUAGUCCUAUCGAAGACUAGCAUCUUCUAGAAACCACCAUCUUGCAGCAAACAGGAGGGAGUAGAGUAGCAUAAGGUAAAGUAGUAGUAGUGUUAUCAACCUCGGCCAGAGAUCCUUUCUCGACUCCCUGCGAGAAAGCAAUCCCAGAGCCAUACUAUCCAAUUAUCAUCACAAUUCAAUUCUCAUCACCAUCCAAUUCUCAUCACAAGUAUCCAUUUCUAGUUGUAUCGAUCGGGAUACAACUCCAAGUGUCCGUUACCGUAGGACAGGCUAUCGAUAGUUGUUCUCUUCCCUGCAGGGGUGCACCAACUUACCCACCACGCUCGAUUAACUCCGGCCGAACACACUUUCCUGGGUCAUGCCCGGCCUCGGCCAAACAAUACGCCGCAACCCGACCUAGGCUUAAUAGAGAGGCCAACACGCCGGACUAAACCUAUGCCCCCAGGGGUCAUGGGCCAUCUCCCCGGGAACUCCUGCACGUUGCGUACGCGGCCGGUGAGCAGACCUAGCUACCUCCUUCAACAAGGCAGGCGCUUACGCAGUCCAACCCGGCGCGCGCCGCUCAGUCGCUGACGUCUACUAAGCUUCGGCUGAUGUAUACGACGCAGAACGCCCAUACUAUGCCCACGUGAUGGUUAGUGCUAUCAGGCCAGAGGCCCCUCGGAUCAAAUAUCCAAAUCGUAGUGGAUUAGGAACGCGCGGUAACAAGCAGAGACUCAUGAAAGAUGUGACCCCGUUGCCCCAUCUCGAGGACUUGCGGGAAGGGUUAAGAAUGCCCGACCACACCUCGUAAUUAUCUCUCGGGCACCUUCCAGGUCACCCCGACUCCACAUCACUCGCAAUUAUGCUCGUGCGGGUACCCCUCAGGCUCAACCCGUCUUUAGUAACAUGGUUCAGUGUAAAGUCAUAGUAACCAUAGUAACCGUGUGUCCAAACAUCAAGGGGAAAACCCGAGGAAUCACCCCCGGUGAAUUCUACUCGAUGUAAUCAUCAAGGUGAACGUAAGAGGGACCACCCUCGAGGUUCACACUUGAGUGGUUGCACGACAGAGUCGUAUCAGAAGUGGUUAAAGAGGAAAUCACCCUCGAUGACCACGACCGAAUAGCUACACUACAGGGUUAACAUCAGAAGUGAUGUAGAGGUCUCACCCUCGGCACUCGAUAGUAACCCAGUAGUGUCGAGCAACUAAGGGGAAAGUGAUGUGCGGUGCCGGGGCCUGGUCUUCGAUCCCGUUGAUCAGGUCUUCAAUGAUGAAGCAGGGGCAACAAGGAUAAGGUGGGGGGGGGGGUCACUGAUGGCUCACUAACCAACCUAUACUAAGCAGUUUAGGAUAAGCAGGUAAGGUAACAAUAAGCCGGUACAAAAGCAGGCUAUGCAUCAGAAUAGGAGCAAUCAAUAACAGUAGUAAAAUCUAAUGCAAGCAUAAGAGACUGGAAUGGGCGAUAUCGGGAUGAUCAAAGGGGGGGCUUGCCUGGUUGCUCUGGCAAGGAGGGGUCGUCGUUGACGUAGUCGACCACAGGGGCAGCAUCGGUCUCGGGGUCUAUCAGAGAGAAGAGGGGGAAGACACAGUAAAUAUAAAGCAAACAUAGCAUCACAAAGCAUAACGUGGCAAAAUGAUGUGCCGGGUGUGACCUAACGUAUGGCUACACGAUAAAGGUGAAGGGGGAAUUCAUCCGGGAAUGUUUUCCCGGUUCCGGAGCUGUGUCAGACAGAUGACCUGAGGGGGAAUGUUCCAUGUUCAGAUAGUUAGAGGUAUCUGGAUUCGUCACGUUUUUCUGAGCAACUUUCAUGUAGAAAACAUUUUCAUCUGAGCUACGGUUUAAUUUCUAUGAAUUUUUAAAGUUUAAACCAUUUUCUGGAAUUAUUUAAAUUAACAGAAAAUGAAAUAUGACGCCAGCAGAGUGUCAGCAUGACAUCAGCAGGUCAACAGACCUGCUGACUGGUCAAACUGACCAGUGGGUCCCACAUGUCAUAGAGAGGGCUAACAGUGGGGUUAUUUUAAUUGAGCAUGUGUUAGUUAGCAGUUGGGCCCCACAUGUCAGUCUCUAAAAUGCAACUAAUUAGGUUUUAAUUAAUAAAACGUUGGUUAAACUAAUUACGCGGUGGGGCCCAUAUGUCAGCGUCUCUGGGCUGCCUAGUCAGCAGUUGACUGGGUCAAUCCAGACAACUGGGACCCGCUGGGCCCAGCGUCAGUGACUCAGGUGAUGGGGCCCACGCAUCCAUGUUGGCGGCUACGUCGGGGAGGGCUCCGGCGACCAAGGCGACGGCGGCGCCUCGCCGGAGUUGGCCAGGGCCGCGCUACAGGGGGCCUCCGGACCUACGGCUUGGAACUAAGGGCGCGGCCCGGCGCCGCGCACAUGAUGGUGACAACGACCGGCGUCGGGGACGACCGGAGCAUCGCCAGUGACGAGAAAGGCGGCGACGAGCUUCGGGCGUGUGAUGGUGAAGGCGAAGCAGCGUGCUACGGAACGAAAGGAAAGGCUGGGGAGGAUCCCCGUGGUGCGGCGAGUCCAACGGGCUUGAGCCCGUGACCAAAAGGUCACUGGAGCCUCGCCGGCGGCGAGCUCUGCGGCGAUGCAUUCCGGAGCUCAUCGGGGACGAUGCUAGGAGGCACGGGAGGGAGCGUGCGCGUGCGCGUUGGGCUCCUGGGAACCCCAGGAGCACAACUGUGAGCUCAGGCGAGCGUGUCGAUGGUCACAACGACGACAACGAGCUCGUCGGCGGAGCUUGGCUCGGCCAUGGCGGGUCCAGCCAUUCUGGGCGCGUACGGGAGCAAAAGAGAGGGGGGGGGGAGGAAAAGGGGCUCACCUUGCGGCAUGCACGGUGGCCCUCGGCGGCUUAGUAGCAGCAGAGACGGCGCUGGAGACGAAGAAGGGCGGCGACGACCGAAGACGUGGAUGAAAGGGAUCCGGCGCUUCGGUGCUCCCCAACUCCAGCUGAGGCCACCGAUCGAUGGAGAGGACGACGACAGAGCUCACCGUCAAGGUCAGCGGGCGCGGGGCCGCCGGUGGCCACGACAACGACGGAGGGCGGCGGCGACUGCGCUCGGGCCGCGGAUCUGGAGGAGAGGAGGGCGGAGCGAGCGCGUGGGCGAGAGAAGAGAGAGAGAAAGGGGGCAAGUGGGCGAGUGGGAGGUGUCGGGGCGGCCUUAUCCCCUCCCGUCGACGGCGAGGUGGUCCGGCGGCGACGCGCGGGCGCGCGCCCUCGGUCGGUUGAAUAGGGGAAGGGGGAGAGCGACGGCCCAGGGGGGUGUGGGCCGGCCUGUUGGGCCAGCUGGCUCGGGUGGGCCGAAGCCUGAGUGAGGCAGAGGGCCUCUCUCUCCCUCUACUUCUCCUUUUCUUUUUUUCUUUUUGUUGUUUUUCUUUUUCUUUUCCAGCAGCUUUUGCAUUUUCUUUUAGCCACAAUUGACUUUGAAAAUUAUGCCACUGGCCAAAACAAUUUCAAAGAAUUAAAGUGCACUGCCUCAAAAAGGUUGGGAGGCUUUUGGAAUAGUUGCCAAUUUUAUAAAUUAAAAAGGGCAUUUAAUUUAUUGCUUAGGUCACUGUUUUAAGUAGUUUAGGCCACUUAAACCCUUUGCAAAAAUGUUGGUUCACCACCAAUAUUAGUUGUGGAAUAUUUGGCACAUGAUGAACAUUUUUGUUUUCAUGUUUGAGAAAGUUUGAAUUCCCCUCAUAAUUUGAAUUUGAAUUUGACUUUGAUUUUUCAUCAAGUGAUAAUUAGCUCAGUAAGCAUGGUGACCUGGCACCAUUAACAGGGGAUUACUGUAGCAUGACACUGAGGGUGUUACAUGCAUGAUCCCGUGACCAACUACUUAGUCAUAUUGAGCUCGUUAUGAUGAUGCAUUACCGAGUGGGCCCAGAGAUACCUCUCCGUCACACGGAGUGACAAAUCCCAGUCUCGAUUCGUGCCAACCCAACAGACACUUUUGGAGAUACCCGUAGUGCACCUUUAUAGCCACCCAGUUAUGUUGUGACGUUUGGCACACCCAAAGCAUUCAUAUGGUAUCCGGGAGUUGCACAAUCUCAUGGUCUAAGGAAAUGAUACUUUACAUUAGAAAAGCUUUUAGCAAACGAACUACACGAUCUUGUGCUAUGCUUAGGAUUGGGUCUUGUCCAUCACAUCAUACUCCUAAUGAUGUGAUCCCGUUAUCAAUGACAUCCAAUGUCCAUGGUCAGGAAACCAUAACCAUCGAUUGAUCAACGAGCUAGUCAACUAGAGGCUCACUAGGGACAUGUUGUGGUCUAUGUAUUCACACAUGUAUUACGGUUUCCAGUUAAUACAAUUAUAGCAUGAACAAUAGACAAUUAUCAUGAACAAGGAAAUAUAAUAAUAACCAUUUUAUUAUUGCCUCUAGGGCAUAUUUCCAACAAGUUGUUCAUAACUCCUUCUCUAUGUUGAUGUCUGUAACCUCCUGAUACUUGUUGCAAACACAUUCAUGUCCUUGACAAAUGAUGAUCAUACUUGCAUGAGAAAAACUAUCUUUUCGCAAAGAUGCCAAAUUAGUAGUAGAGCCUUGCAUAAUUAUUCUGUUAUCACUCUUGGGUUGCUUGCGAGUACAUUCAAAGUACUCAUUGGCUUGCCACUGGUUAUUUUAUUGGCCAGGCAUGAAAGACAAGACAUAUUGAAGAGGUCUUUGGUGACAAUCGUGCGAGCUAGGACAAUUUCCCAGUCCGAAUGCCUGUAGGGUUAAGGCAGAUGGCAUGGGUCCAAGUUAUUGACGAAGAUUUCCGCUGCAAUGUUAUGCUCAAGACUUGACCAUAAUGGUUGUAAUUCAUGUAAGACUGUAUGUAUGGAUGUAAGACUCUUACUUGAGCUAUAAUGGCCAAAAAUAGUAGCGCACAGAUCCUUAAUCCAAGCACUAAAAUUUAAGCCGAGGGGAACAAGUAGUAUAUAUGAUCUAUUUACUCACAUGUAUGUGUUGAGAUUGUGGUUGAGAUGGCAAUUCUGCCGUGCAGCAAUAACAUCCCAUUCAUCCUCAUCGACUUGCACAGUUACGAUGUUGACUCGAUCGGACUCGGCGUCAGUGUACCCCCGACAUCUAUAGUGUGUUUGAUAAUGUGAUGCUAACGUCGAUUUUGUUUCUUCGUACGCAGGCGGCGGAAGGGGCUUUGAGAUCUCCAAGUUGGAGAAGAGGAAGUGUCCUCUAAUGCUGCAACCAAGGGAAAUGUCACCAGGUGAUUUGUUCUUCUCUGUCAUGGAUUUUGUAUUUUUUUCGAGGAGUUGAUCACUUGUGUGUGUGAAGAAUUGAGUACACGCGGAUUGGUAGGAUUGAAAGAGAUUGCACUGAGCUAAUAAUGCAUUUUUUGUUUAAUAGCUGGAGUAUAAUUCCAUUCAGCUGGCAAUUAUCCAUGUAGUCAUGUAAGCUAUUGCCUAUAUGACUUAAGGUGUUUAAUAGCUGGAGUAUAAUUCCAUUCAGCCGGCAAUUCCAUUCAGAAGAAAUUGGAGAGGAGGAGGAUGACGAGUUGACUAUUGACGAGUCAUAUCCCUAGAGUUACUAAGCUCCCACCAAAUCGAGCCUCCUGGUGAAUCGCAGCUAGCGAGGGAUUUAUCAGCGGACGACUCUGUCGCUGUCCCGUGGCCCCCAAUCGUCUGUAGUCGGUUUACUUCUGUCAUACCUAUCCCAUGAAUACCGACCCAAACCCCGCACGGCUGGACGUAGUCUUCUUCUUUUUCUCUAGAAAUAUUUUCUUCAUGUCCCUCCCUCGCCCAGCCCCGGCAGCCACCGACCAUCUCCUCCAUCACCGCACCUCUUUGCCGCCACCCCAAUCUAGAUCCGAGCCGAGCAACCUUCAGAUCUGUCUUUUACCAACGAACCCUGCGUUCUGGUGUGUCGAGACUGAUGAGUGCCGCUCGCUCCCCACCUGUAAGUUGUGGUUCACUUGCAGGGGUCGUGGCUCACGGUGGUUGACGUCUUCGUGUUUCUCGUCGUGGUGGGCUUGCCCAACUGCUUACAACAUCUUCCAUGCCUCAUCUCCCAUGACCCCUCGCUCACGGAGGAGAGAUUGCGGCUGAAGGGAGGCAUAGCUUGAACGGGGUUCGUGGAUGAGGAAGGGGACUCGACAGCGCAGAGCUGGUGACGAAGGAGCAAGUCCGUAACGGUGUAGCUCGCGGCGGAGGAGGCUGGGGAUCCCAGACAAGGGAGGGACGGGUCCCGGUGGUUGCGGUGGCUGGAGGGCAGUCACAUCGUGGCCCUUCCAGGUAUCCUCUAAUUUCAUGGACAAUUCCUCUUGACGCGAGGGGAAACCUUCAUCUACAGUUAAAUAUUUUCUUCUUUAUAGACUUCAUGUUUUCCUUGGAUUUUGUCUAAAUGUCUUGGGAGUACAGAUAAUGGUGUGGGUAAAUAGUUGGUUUUUGGACCUCAUGUUGUAUUGCAUGAUCCCAUGGAAUGAGAUUCAUUUUGGUGAUCAUUUGUAUUCAAAGAAUGUUACUGAUACAAUUUUGUGACCGUUUUGGACUGUAAGAAACCACUGGAUGUUAAGGGGAAGUACCAAUCAGGCUUGUGCCUCUUCUGUACAUGUAUGCUCGGGAUGCCUCUUUUGUACGUGUAUGCUCGGGUUAUUUACUAAUUGUAUAUGUGCUAGACCUUCCUGAUGGUCCAUUGCCAGGCAUAGAAAGGCUACAAAUUUGAUUUUUUUGUCAAGUCUUUUGAUCUUAGCUUCUUGGAAAGACUGAGUUUCCACUUAUCUAAUGUGCUAAAUGAUCUCCAGCUAACUUCUGUAUAUUGAUUGAUACACCUCUCAGUUAAUAAGUAAAUAUCCUGUUGGCCACAAGACCGAGCUUCCAAUUUUUGUAUAUCCUUAACUGAAUGCAUCCUUAUGUUAUAUCAUGUUCGUUCUAAAAUGCAACAGUAUUGGUAGGGUGCUCAAUCAAAUUCCUCUGCUGGCUUGGUUAGUUCUUGAUACUAACAUGGAUAGACUUUUAAGUGCAUAGGUACUCACUUAAUUUCUACUGAGCUAUAAUGGCCAAAAACAGUAGCGCACAGAUCCUUAAUCCAAGCAAUAAAAUUUAAGCCGAGGGGAACAAGUAGUAUAUAUGAUCUAUUUACUCACAUGUAUGUGUUGAGAUUGUGGUUGAGAUGGCAAUUCUGCCGUGCAGCAAUAACAUCCCAUUCAUCCUCAUCGACUUGCACAGUUACGACGUUGACUCGAUCGGACUCGGCGUCGGUGUACCCCCGACAUCUAUAGUGUGUUUGAUAAUGUGAUGCUAACGUCGAUUUUGUUUCUUCGUACGCAGGCGGCGGAAGGGGCUUUGAGAUCUUCAAGUUGGAGAAGAGGAAGUGUCCUCUGAUGCUGCAACCAAGGGAAAUGACACCAGGUCAUUUGUUCUUCUCUGUCAUGGACUUUGUAUUUUUUUUCGAGGAGUUGAUCACUUGUGUGUGUGAAGAAUUGAGUACACGCGGAUUGGUAGGAUUGAAAGAGAUUGCACUGAGCUAAUAAUGCAUUUUUUGUUUAAUAGCUGGAGUAUAAUUACAUUCAGCUGGCAAUUAUCCAUGUAGUCAUGUAAGUUAUUGCCUAUAUGACUUAAGGUGUGGUGCAUUUAUUAAUCAUUAUUAUGAUAACUAAGAUUAACAUAAGUUAUUCAGACAUAUUUAUGAAUCUCAACUAAGAUAAGCUUAUUUGCAAUAUAUGCAAAUACUCCCUCUGUAAACAAAUAAAAGACGUUUUAGGUAUGAUAUUUGCAGAGGGAGUAGUAUAUAUCAAGAGAACAUCUGUUGGUAUGAUAUUUGCAUCACUUAAGUUAUUAUGGUUCUUUCAUGUCACAUCCUGAUUUUCAUGCCACAACACUUAAGCUAAUAAAUCAUGAUAAAUUGUGGUUUGACAAAAACUUUUGAGUGUUUAGGUCUUUGCUUGAUUUGAUAUUGUGUGUUGGUUGCAAGUGCUCUAAAAAUCAAAUAAAUCCUCCAACUCUUAUACUCCUUCUCCUUCAUCCAAAACCUUGCCCAAUGAUCAUGUCAUGUGUGUUGGACAUAAAAAUAAUUUCUUGCAGAAAUAUUUUGGCCAAAAAGUAUUUUCUAAAUUAGGUUUUCCAAAACCCCCUGAAUUGAGUCUUGAACUACAAGUACUUAAUUAAGGGUGUGAAAAAUCUUUCAAAAAUUAUAUUUGACUCCUAUUAGAUAUAGGACACCCAGAAACCACAAAAAUAUAAUUUUAAAAGUUAUUUUCCUAUUUUAUUUAAAGGCUUUUUCUUUAGGCCAGAAAUGGUCUUUAAUAGGUUAAAAUUAUUUUUAAGCUUCACAAAUAUUUUAGAAAAAUCAGGGAAACUCAGUGGACAUAUAUUUUCCAUACAUAAGAGUUUCAACACAUGGUCAUGUUCAAAAUAUUGGUCAAAUCCCUCAAAACCUAUUUCUGGAUAUUUCAAGCUUUUGAAACAUUUACAAAGGAAAUAUUCUCAAAAAAUUCCAAGACAAUUCUAGCAUGUCACAUAUGACAUGUUUGAUUAUCUUGCCAAGUAUCAUGUCAUGAAGAAUAGUAUAACCCCAUGAAAUCCCCUCAAAACCAUUUCUGUCCAUUUUGAAGUUUGAGCAACUUUACAUUGCCAAAGAUGUCCAUGAAGGAAAUAUGCCGUAGAGGCAAUAAUAAAGGUAUUAUUUAUUUCCUUAUUUCAUGAUAAAUGUUCAUUAUUCAUGCUAGAAUUGUAUUAACCGGAAACAUAAUACAUGUGUGAAUACAUAGACAAACAUAGUGUCACUAGUAUGCCUCUACCUGACUAGCUCGUGAAUCAAAGAUGGUUAAGUUUCCUAGCCAUGGACAAAAGAGUUGUCAUUUGAUUAACAUGAUCACAUCAUUAGGAGAAUGAUGUGAUUGACUUGACCCAUUCCGUUAGCUUAGCACACGAUCAUUUAGUAUGUUGCUACUGCUUUCUUCAUGACUUAUACAUGUUCUAUGACUAUGAGAUUAUGCAACUCCCGUUUACCAGAGGAACACUUUGUGUGCUACCAAACGUCACAACGUAACUGGGUGAUUAUAAAGGUGCUCUACAGGUGUCUUCGAAGGUACAUGUUGGGUUGGCGUAUUUCGAGAUUAGGUUUUGUCACUCCGAUUGUCGGAGAGGUAUCUCUGGGCCCUCUCGGUAAUACACAUCACUUAAAGCCUUGCAAGCAUUGCAACUAAUGAGUUAGUUGUGGGAUGAUGUAUUACGGAACGAGUAAAGAGACUUGCCGGUAACAAGAUUGAACUAGGUAUUGGAUACCGACGAUCGAAUCUCGGGCAAGUAACAUACCGAUGACAAAGGGAACAACGUAUGUUGUUAUGCGGUUUGACCGAUAAAGAUCUUCGUGGAAUAUGUAGGAACCAAUAUGGACAUCCAGGUUCCGCUAUUGGUUAUUGACCGAGAAUAGUUCUAGGUCAUGUCUACAUAGUUCUCGAACCCGUAGGGUCCACACGCUUAAGGUUUCGAUGACAGUUAUAUUAUGAGUUAAUGAGUUUUGAUGUACCGAAGGAGUUAGGAGUCCCGGAUGAGAUCAGGGACAUGACGAGGAGUCUCGAAAUGGUCGAGACGUAAAGAUCGAUAUAUUGGACGACUAUAUUCGGAGUUCGGAAAGGUUACGAGUGAUUCGGGUAUUUUUCGGAGUACCAAAGAGUUACGGGAAUUCGCCGGGGAGUAUAUGGGCCUUAUUGGGCCAUACGGGAAUAGAGGAGAGAGGCCGAAAGGAAGGAGGCGCGCAGCCCCCCUCUGGUCCGAAUUGGACAAGGGGUGCGGCCCCCCUUUCCUUCCUCCUCUCCCCCUCUUUCCCCCUUCUCCUACUCCAACAAGGGAAGGUGGAAUCCUACUAGGACUAGGGAGUCCUAGUAGGACUCCACACUUGGCGCGCCCCCUCCUAAGGCCGGCCACCUCCCCCCUUUCUCCUUUAUAUACGGGGGCAAGGGGGCACCCCAUGACACACAAGUUGAUCUACGGAUCGUUCCUUAGCCGUGUGCGGUGCCCCCUCCACCAUAUUCCACCUCGAUCAUAUCAUCGCGGAGUUUAGGCGAAGCCCUGUGCCGGUAGAACAUCAUCAUCAUCAUCACCACGCCGUCGUUCUGACGGAACUCAUCCCCGACGCUUUGCUGGAUUGGAGCCCGGGGAACGUCAUCGAGCUGAACGUGUGCUGAACACGGAGGUGCCGUACGUUCGGUGCUUGGAUCGGUCGAGUCGUGAAGACGUACGACUACAUCAUCCACGUUGUGAUAACGCUUCCGCUUACGGUCUACGAGGGUACAUGGACAAUACUCUCCUCUCUCGUUGCUAUGCCAUCACCAUGAUCUUGCAUGUGCGUAGGAAUUUUUUUAAAAUUACUACGUUACCCAACAGUGGUAUCAGAGCCUAGGUUUUAUGCGUUGAUGUUAUAUGCACGAGUAGAACACAAAUGAGUUGUGGGCGAUACAAGUCAUACUGCUUACCAGCAUGUCAUACUUUGGUUCGGCGGUAUUGUUGGAUGAAGCGGCCCGGACCGACAUUACGCGUACGCUUACGCGAGACUGGUUCUACCGACGUGCUUUGCACACAGGUGGCUGGCGGGUGUCAGUUUCUCCAACUUUAGUUGAACCGAGUGUGGCUACGCCCGGUCCUUGCGAAGGUUAAAACAUCACUAACUUGACGAACUAUCGUUGUGGUUUUGAUGCGUAGGUAAGAACGGUUCUUGCUAAGCCCGUAGCAGCCACGUAAAACUUGCAACAACAAAGUAGAGGAUGUCUAACUUGUUUUUGUAGGGCAUGUUGUGAUGUGAUAUGGUCAAGACAUGAUGCUAUAUUUAUUGUAUGAGAUGAUCAUGUCUUGUAACCGAAGUUAUCGGCAACUGGCAGGAGCCAUAUGGUUGUCGCUUUAUUGUAUGAAAUGCAAACGCCCUGUAAUUGCUUUACUUUAUCACUAAGCGGUAGCGAUAGUCGUAGAAGCAAUAGAUGGCGUAAAUGACAAUGAUGCUACGAUGGAGAUCAAGGUGUCGCGCCGGUGAUGAUGGUGAUCACGACGGUGCUUCGGAGAUGGAGAUCACAAGCACAAGAUGAUGAUGGCCAUAUCAUAUCACUUAUAUUGAUUGCAUGUGAUGUUUAUCCUUUAUGCAUCUUAUCUUGCUUUGUUUGACGGUAGCAUUUUAAGAUGAUCUCUCACUAAAAUUAUCAAGAAGUGUUCUCCCUGAAUAUGCACCGUUGCCAAAGUUCGUCGUGCCCAGACACAACGUGAUGAUCGGGUGUGAUAAGCUCUACGUCCAUCUACAACGGGUGCAAGCCAGUUUUGCACACGCAGAAUAUUCAGGUUAUACUAGACGAGCCUAGCAUAUGCAGAUAUGCAUCGGAACACAGAGACCGAAAGGUCGAGCGUGAAUCAUAUAGUAGAUAUGAUCAACAUAGUGAUGUUCACCAUUGAAAACUACUCCAUCUCACGUGAUGAUCGGUUAUGGUUUAGUUGAUUUGGAUCACGUAAUCACUUAGAUGACUAGAGAGAUAUCUAUCUAAGUGGGAGUUCUUAAGUAAUAUGAUUAAUUGAACUUUAAUUUAUCAUGAACUUAGUCCUAGUAGUAUUUUGCAAAUUAUGUUGUAGAUCAAUAGCUCGCGUUGUUGCUUUCAUAUGUUUAUUUUUAUAUGUGUUCCUAGAGAAAACUAUGUUGAAAGAUGUUAGUAGCAAUGAUGCGGAUUGGAUCCGUGAUCUGAGGUUUAUCCUCAUUGCUGCACAGAAGAAUUAUGUUCUUGAUGCACCGCUAGGUGACAGACCUAUUGCAGGAGCAGAUGUAGACGUUAUGAACGUUUGGCUAGCUCAAUAUGAUGACUACUUGAUAGUUUAGUGCACCAUGCUUAAACGGCUUAGAAUCGGGACUUCAAAGACGUUUUGAACGUCAUGGACCAUAUGAGAUGUUCCAGGAGUUGAAGUUAAUAUUUCAAGCAAAUACCUGAGUUGAGAGAUAUGAAGUCUCCAACAAGUUCUAUAGCUAAAAGAUGGAGGAGAAUCGCUCAACUAGUGAGCAUGUGCUCAGAUUGUCUGGGUACUACAAUCGCUUGAAUCAAGUGGGAGUUAUUCUUCCAGAUAAAAUAGUGAUUGACAGAGUUCUCUAGUCACCAUCACUAAGUUAGUAGAACUUUGUGAUGAACUAAGUAUGCAAGGGAUGACGAAAACGAUUCCCAAGCUCUUCGUGAUGUUGAAAUUGACGAAGGUAGAAAUCAAGAAAGAGCAUCAAGUGUUGACGGUUGACAAGAUCACUAGUUUCAAGUAAAGGGCAAAGGGAAAGAAAGGGAACUUCAAGUAGAAUGACAAGCAAGUUGUCACUCCCACAAAAAAGCCCAAAGCUGAACCAAAGCCUGAAACUAAGUGCUUACACUGCAAAGGAAAUGGUCACUGGAAGCGGAAAUGUCCUGAAUAUUUGGUGGAUAAGAAGGACGGCAAAGUGAACAAGGGUAUAUUUGAUAUACAGGUUAUUGAUGUGUGCCUUACUAGUGUUUAUAGUAGCCCCUGAGUAUUUGAUACUUGUUCGGUUGCUAAGAUUAGUAACUCAAAACAGGAGUUACAGAAUAAACAGAGACUAGUUGAAAGGGAAGUGACGAUGAGUGUUGGAAGUGGUUCCAAGAUUGAUAUGAUCAUCAUCGCACACUCCCUAUACUUUCGGGAUUAGUGUUGAACCUAAAUAAAUGUUAUUUGGUGUUUGCGUUGAACAUGAAUAUGAUUUGAUCAUGUUUAUUGCAAUACGGUUAUUCGUUUAAAAUCAGAGAAUAAUUGUUGUUCUGUUUAAAUGAAUAAAACCUUUGAUGGUCAUACACACAAUGAAAAUAGUUUGUUGGAUCUCGAUCGUAGUGAUACACAUAUUCAUAAUAUUGAUGCCAAAAGAUGCAAAGUUGAUAAUGAUAGUGCAACUUAUUUGUGGCACUGCCGUUUGGGUCAUAUCGGUGUAAAGCGCAUGAAGAAACUCCAUAAAGAUGGAUUUUUGGAAUCACUUGGUUAUGAAUCAUUUGAUGCUUGCGAACCAUGCCUUUUGGGCAAGAUGACUAAAACUCCGUUCUCUGGAACAAUGGAACGAGCUACUGACUUAUUGGAAACAAUACAUACCGAUGUAUGCAGUCCAAUGAGUGUUGAUGCUCGUGGCGGGUAUCGUUAUUUUCUGACCUUCACAAGAUGAAUUGAGCAGAUAUGAGUAUAUCUACUUGAUGAAACAUAAGUCUGAAAUAAUUGAAAGGUUCAAAGAAUUUCAGAGUGAAGUGGAAAAAUCAUCGUAACAAGAAAAUAAAGUUUCUACGAUCUGAUCAUGGAGACGAAUAUUUGAGUUACGAGUUUGGUCUUCAAUUAAAACAUUGUGGAAUAGUUUCACAGCUCACACCACCUGGAACACCACAACGUUAUGGUGUGUCCGAACGUCGUAACCGCACUUUAUUGGAUAUGGUGCGAUCAAUGAUGUCUCCUACUGAUUUACCACUAUCAUUUUGGGGUCAUGCAUUAAAGACAGCUGCAUUCACGUUAAAAAGGAGCACCACCUAAGUCCGUUGAGACGACACAAUAUGAACUGUGGUUUGGCAAGAAACCAAAGUUGUCGUUUCUUAAAGUUUGGGGUUGCGAUGCUUAUGUGAAAAAGUUUCAUCCUGAUAAGCUCAAACCCAAAUCGGAUAAAUGUGUCUUCAUAGGAUACCCAAAGGAGAAAGUUGGGUACACCUUCUAUCACAGAUCCGAAGGCAAGACAUUCGUUGCUAAGAAUGGAUCCUUUCUAGAGAAGGAGUUUCUCUCGAAAGAAGUGAGUGGGAGGAAAGUAGAACUUGAUAAGGUAAUUGUACCUUCUCCCUUAUUGGAAAGUAGUUCAUCACAGAAAUCUGUUCUUAUGACUAAUACACCAAUUAGUGAGGAAGCUAAUGAUGAUGAUCAUGUAACUUCAGAUCAAGUUACUACCGAAUCUAGUAGGUAAACCAGAGUAAGAUCCGCACCAGAGUGGUACGGUAAUCCUGUUCUGGAAGUCAUGUUACUAGACCAUGAUGAACCUACGAACUAUGAGGAAGCGAUGAUGAGCCCAGAUUCCACGAAAUGGCUUGAGGCCAUAAAAUCUGAGAUAUGAUCCAUGUAUGGAAACAAAGUAUGGACUUUGAUUGACUUGCUUGAUGAUCAGCAAGCCAUGUUAAAUAAAUGGAUCUUCAAGAGGAAGACGGACACUGAUAGUAGUGUUACUAUCUACUAAGCUCGACUUGUUGCGAAAGGUUUGCAACAAGUUCAAGGUGUCGAAUACGGUGAGAUUUUCUCACUCGUAUCGAAGCUUAAGUCUGUCUGAAUCAUGUUGGCAAUUGCCACAUUUUAUGAAAUCUGGCAAAAGGAUGUCAAAACUGCAUUCCUUAAUGGAUUUAUUAUAGAAGAGUUGUAUAUGAUGCAACCAGAAGGUUUUGUUAAUCCUAAAGGUACUAACAAAAUGUGCAAGCUCCAACGAUCCAUCAAUGGACUAGUGCAAGCAUCUCGGAGUUGGAAUAUACGCUUUGAUGAGUUGAUCAAAGCAUAUGGUUUUAUACAGACUUUUGGAAAGGCCUGUAUUUACAAGAAAGUGAGUGGGAGCUCUGUAGCAUUUCUGAUAUUAUAUGUGCAAGACAUAUUGUUGAUUGGAAAUGAUAUAGAAUUUCUGGAUAGCAUAAAAGGAUACUUGAAUAAAAAGUUUUUCAAUGAAAGACCUCGGUGAAGCUGCUUACACAUUGAGCAACAAGAUCUAUAGAGAUAGAUCAAGACGCUUGAUAAGAUUUUUCAAUGAGUACAUACCUUGACAAGAUUUUGAAGUAGUUCAAAAUGGAAUAGUCAAAGAAAGAGUUCUUGCCUGUGUUGCAAGGUGUGAAGUUGAGUAAGACUCAAAACCCGACCAUGGCAGAAAAUAGAAAAGAAUGAACAGUCAUUCCCUAUGCCUCAGUCGUAGGUUCUAUAAAGUAUGCUAUGCUGUGUACUAGACCUAUUGUAUACCUUGCUCUGAGUUUGGCAAAGGAAUACAAUUUUGAUCUAAAAGUAGAUCACUAGAACAGCGGUCAAGAAUAUCCUUAGUGAGGACUAAGGAGAUGUUUCUCGAUUAUGGAGGUGAUAGAAGAGCCAGUCGUAAAAAGUUACAACGAUGCAAGCUUUUACACCAAUCCAGAUGACUCUAAGUCUCAAUCUGGAUACAUAUUGAAAGUGGGAGCAAUUAGCUAGAGUAGCUCCGUGCAGAGCAUUGUGGACAUAGAAUAUUUGCAAAAUACAUACGGCUCUGAAUGUGACAGACCCGUUGACUAAACUUCUCUCAUGAGCAAAACAUGAUCAUACCUUAGUAGUCUUUGGGUGUUAAUCACAUAGCCAUGUGAACUAGAUUAUUGACUCUAGUAAACCCUUUGGGCGUUGAUCACAUAACGAUGUGAACUAUGGGUAUUAAUCACAUACAGAUGUGAAUAUUGGUGUUAAAUCACAUGGUGAUGUGAACUAGAUUAUUGACUCUAGUGCAAGUGGGAGACUGAAGGAAAUAUGCCCUAGAGGCAAUAAUAAAGUUAUUAUUUAUUUCCUUAUUUCAUGAUAAAUGUUUAUUAUUCAUGCUAGAAUUGUAUUAACCGGAAACAUAAUACAUGUGUGAAUACAUAGACAAACAUAGUGUCACUAGUAUGCCUCUACUUGACUAACUCGUGAAUAAGAUGGUUAAGUUUCCUAGCCAUGGACAAAAGCGUUGUCAUUUGAUUAACGGGAUCACAUCAUUAGGAGAAUGAUGUGAUUGACUUGACCCAUUCCGUUAGCUUAGCACACGAUCGUUUAGUAUGUUGCUACUGCUUUCUUCAUGACUUAUACAUGUUCCUGUGACUAUGAGAUUAUGCAACUCCCGUUUACCAGAGGAACACUUUGUGUGCUACCAAACGUCACAACGUAACUGGGUGAUUAUAAAGGUGCUCUACAGGUGUCUCCGAAGGUACAUGUUGGGUUGGCGUAUUUUGAGAUUAGGUUUUGUCACUUCGAUUGUCGGAGAGGUAUCUCUGGGCCCUCUCGGUAAUACACAUCACUUAAAGCUUUGCAAGCGUUGCAACUAAUGAGUUAGUUGUGGGAUGAUGUAUUACGGAACGAGUAAAGAGACUUGUCGGUAACAAGAUUGAACUAGGUAUUGGAUACCGACGAUCGAAUCUCGGGCAAGUAACAUACCGAUGACAAAGGGAACAACGUAUGUUGUUAUGCGGUUUGACCGAUAAAGAUCUUCGUGGAAUAUGUAGGAACCAAUAUGGACAUCCAGGUUCCGCUAUUGGUUAUUGACCGAGAAUAGUUCUAGGUCAUGUCUACAUAGUUCUCGAACCUGUAGGGUCCGCACGCUUAAGGUUUCGAUGACAGUUAUAUUAUGAGUUUAUGAGUUUUGAUGUACCGAAGGAGUUCGGAGUCCCGUAUGAGAUCGGGGACAUGACGAGGAGUCUCAAAAUGGUCGAGACGUAAAGAUUGAUAUAUUGGACGACUAUAUUCGGAGUUCGGAAAGGUUCCGAGUGAUUCCGGUAUUUUUCGGAGUACCGGAGAGUUACGGGAAUUCGCCGGGGAGUAUAUGGGCCUUAUUGGGCCAUACGGGAAUAGAGGAGAGAGGCCGAAAGGAAGGAGGCGCACAGCCCCCCUCUGGUCCGAAUUGGACAAGGGGUGCGGCCCCCCUUUCCUUCCUCCUCUCCCCCUCUUUCCCCCUUCUCCUACUCCAACAAGGGAAGGUGGAAUCCUACUAGGACUAGGGAGUCCUAGUAGGACUCCACACUUGGCGCGCCCCCUCCUAGGGCCGGCCACCUCCCCCCUUGCUCCUUUAUAUACGGGGGCAAGGGGGCACCCCAUGACACACAAGUUGAUCUACGGAUCGUUCCUUAGCCGUGUGCGGUGCCCCCUUCCACCAUAUUCCACCUCGGUCAUAUUGUCACGGAGUUUAGGCGAAGCCCUGCGCCGGUAGAACAUCAUCAUCGUCACCACGCCGUCGUGCUGACGGAACUCAUCCCCGACGCUUUGCUGGAUUGGAGCCCGGGGAACGUCAUCAAGCUGAAUGUGUGCUGAACACGGAGGUGCCGUACGUUCGAUGCUUGGAUCGGUCGAGUCGUGAAGACGUACGACUACAUCAACCGCGUUGUGAUAACGCUUCCGCUUACGGUCUACGAGGGUACGUGGACAAUACUCUCCUCUCUCGUUGCUAUGCCAUCACCAUGAUCUUGCAUGUGCGUAGGAAUUUUUUUGAAAUUACUACGUUACCCAACAGUCGAAAUAUUGUCAAACCUUGUGAACAUGCUAAAAUGGUCUAUUUAUUCAUCUAGACAAAAUGUCACAAGUUGGAGAGAAUGAUAUCUUGAUCAAAGUGCCCCAAAACCCUCUCUGUACAGAACCAAAUUUGAAUAACUUUACAUUGGCAACUUUCUCCUUUUGAUCUCAACUUCUAUGGACAUGUUCAAAACCUCAAAUGAUGACACUAAACUAAGUGGUGCAUCAAGGAGAAUAGCUUUGCAUGACUAAAUCUUGAAAAGUCCAUUUCUGUUGAUUUCUAGGGUUUACAAAAGUUGCAUUGGCAACUUUGCACAAAUAGACUCAAUCUUGGUGGAACCACUUGUUUUCUUAUGCCAUUUGGCCCUGUCAAGCCUUAUGGCAAGAGGAGUUCAUCUGCUUGCCCAAAUCAACAACAAACACCUUCUGCCAUUUUUCUAAAAACAGUAAUUUGACCACUUCCACUAAUCUCCAUGAGUUCACCUUUUUACCACCACCCCUCCUAGUUCCCCUCUAUCUCUGGUGUGCUUCUCGGCUCGAGAGGCAAUGAUGAAGGGGGGCAGGGAUCCACUUUUCUUCUCUGGACAACACCAUUUCCACUCUCUCUCAACUCCCUCUCCCCUCAAGUGGAUCCCCAGGGCAUCCAAUGCCAUUGCCACAUUGUUUACUCCCCACUUCCGCUGCCAGACGCAAGUGGACACAGCACAGCACGCAAAACACGAUCAUGCCGGCCAAAAGCCUGCUCUGGGGCGCGCUACAGUGGCGUCCGAGCCUUGCCACCGCGCUCUCGUCCACCUCGGGCCGCCCAAGCGCGCCAGUCGACGCGCCUCGGCAUUCGCAUCACGCCAGCGGGCCUCCAACUUGUCCCCGCGCCCUCCUCUCGCCCCUGCAACGCGUGCUCGAGUGCCGCCUGCGUCCGCCAGUGGCUGCUCGCGUCCCUGGCCCGCCUCGCGCUCGCUCCUCUCUUCCUCUCUCCUUCCCUUGACCUGGACCACGCCCACGAGCACCUCAGACAUGCCCCAAAGCGCCCAUUUGGCCCCUGGCAACGCCCCGGGCUGUGGCCGUGCACCCCGCCUACGGCACCUCCCGGUCGCGCUUGUAUAGGGCCACCCCCGAGCCUUCUCUUGUCUCCAACUGCUCUCUCUCCCUCUCACGCAUCCUCUGACCGACCCACUGCUCUUCCCUUGCUGUCCUUGCACCUCCAUGGCCGGAGCAGUGCCGCCGGCCGCCGCUUAAAUUCUUGGGCCUCGACCCCUCUCUCUUCCCCAUGAACACUCCCGCACCCUCUCAUCACCACCGCCAACUCACCUGGUGCUCCAUCUCCUCCUCCUCGUGCCUUCCUCGCCGUGUCGAACCCCGCCAUCACCUGUUCCUGUCGCGGACGAGAACUCGCUUGCUCUGGCGCUCCCCGGCGGAAACUAGGUCCCCAGGUGGACGCGGCCCAUCCUCCCGAGCUCGCCGGUGUCCGAGCAGUCGCCGGAGGUGGCCGGAGCCACCGGAAUGACGCCGGCAAGCGCUCGGCCCUGCCUCCUCUGCCUCCUCCGUCACGUGCGGGAGGAGGGAGACGACCCUGCGGGUGGACCCCGCAGGUCAGUGACCCCGUCAGCGGGCCCCUCCGUUUAAGUGGAGACACACUUGGAAAAUACACCUCCGGCAUGGACCCUGCGCGCGUGCGGCUGAACCGAUGGGCCGGCCCAGUUGCGCCUCGGCGCUAAACCCCGCCCGGUGCGCGCUGCCGCCGAUAGAUUUGGCCCAUUUAGGUAAAUCCUUUUUCUUUUUCUUUUUCUGUGGACUGGUAAAAUCCAUAGAAUAUUCAAAAUAACUCAAAACUUGAUGAUUCAAAUUUCUAGUAGUUCAUAAAAUCAGGCCCUAUAACAUGGUGCUAUUCACCACCUUUUCUAGAAACAUUUCCUUCACAAAUAUUUAUCAAAUCCCCUUUUUAUAAUUUCUGUGAUGAACUUUAGAAAAUCAUAGAGAGCUCAUAUUUGGUCCAAAUGCCAUGAUUCCAAUUUCUAGAUACGUAUAAGUUCAUAAUUUAGGUUAUGAACAUUUUUCUUAAUACUUUAUGUGCCCCACAAAAUAAUGAACCAUUUCUUCAUGAUUGUCAACUUUGCAAAUCCAUAGGAUAUUCAUUUGGACUCCAAAUCCAAUGAAACCAAAUCCUAGAUGCUUCUAAAAUCAUCCUUUGUUAAAUGGGUAUUGUCGGUGUUAAAACCGGCGGAUCUCGGGUAGGGGGUCCCGAGCUGUGCGUCUUAGGAUAAAUGGUAACAUGAGACAAGGGACACGAUGUUUUUACCCAGGUUCGGGCCCUCUUGAUGGAGGUAAAUCCCUACGUCCUGCUCGAUUAAUAUUGAUGAUGUGUAUUACAAGAGUGGAUCUACCACGAGAUCAAGGAGGCUAAACCCUAGAAGCUAGCCUAUGGUAUGAUUGUUGUUGUAUAUGUCCUCUAUCGACUAGCCUGGCCCCAGUUUAUAUAAUGCACCAGAGGCCUAGGAUAACAAGAGUCCUAGCCGAAUACGCCGAUGGGGGAGGAGUCCUUGUCUUGAUCGCCAAGUCUUGUUGAUUCUUCCUUGUAUGCGGCAGCUGUCCGGACUGGCCCAUGAGUAUACGACCAUGGGGGUCCUCGGCCCAAUCCAACUGAUCGGGAGACGACGUGGUGAGUACCCCCUAGUCCAGGACACCGUCAGUAGCCCCCUGAACCGGUCUUCAAGUUAGGGACGCUCCUCGAUUCUUCCGAACUGUUCUUUGCCGGUCUUGAAAACUGGUUCAACAAAUCUUCUCAUCUUCAAUCUUGAGGAUCGCCGAAAUGCAUUCGACGAGUUUAUACGUCGGGUAUCCGAGGAGCCCCUUUAAGUUUCCGGCCUUUAUCAAUGCCUUGUUAUUUUUAUGCCACACCUCGGGUUUGAAGUUGUUUCCGGGCGGCAACGUCCUCUCGCGUCCGAGCUCCAUCGCCGGACUACAUUCGAGGUAUCUUUCGCAGCCGAGCACCAACGCCGGACUGCUUCCCAGCUCCAUCGCCGGACUAUGUAUCCGAGCUCCAACGCCGGACGAUAUCCGAGCUCCAACGCCGGACUAUGUAUCCGAGGUGUUGUAAAUCACCUUGGUUCAAACAAGUUUGAAGGAGUUUAGCCGAGCUUAAUGCCGGAAAUGCCCUCUAUGGAGCUAGCCACUAGCGCCCGAGCUUUAUGCCGGACUGCUUCCGAGGUGGUUAAGCACCUCGGUCAUGGGCUGAUUUUUGGUUAAUGUUUUUUAUUGAUGCAAUUUAUUCUCUGACGAGAUAUAUAGCCAGUAGCCCUCAAGGUGGGUAUCGGUCUAAAACCCGAGAUGCACAUGAAGGAUGACAUAAGACCGCUGAUCCCCGUAGCCGCUGAGACUCAGGUUGAUUUGCAAAAUCGGUCUGAGGAUCAAGUCCUAGCUCGGCAGAAUACUUCAGGAUACAAAAAGCGGCGUGCUCAGUCCUCAAGACUCGGGUUGGGUGCGGCCGACCAACCUGAGGAUCAAAAUCUCCUCGGAAACUGUAUUGCACUUAAAAUUUUCUGCAUAGAACAGGCAAUGCAGUAGCCCCCGAAACACUGGUCGGGUGGCAACACCAGAUUAGGGGAUCGAUGUGCCCCUUUAAUAUUUGUAAAUAAUAAGCCCGAAGCCCAGUAGCCCCCGAGCCUUAAUACGGGCACGGGAGGCCGAAUUAAGGAUCGAUAUCCAUAGUAAAAUCACAAAUUAUGUGUAAUGACUCUAUGUAUCCAAGUACUUUACGUCAUUAAUGCUUGGAUCCGCAUUGUACAAAACUUUGUUGACCGACCAUCGGCUUCCACCUCCUCGGCUAAUAGCCGAGGAGUGUUUGUCCUACUUUAUAAAGCCUUUAUGAGGGCAAACAUUUACAACAAACAAGGCAAUCUGGCCAUACGGUUUUAUAAACAAAGGUACGCGGAGAGACAUGUUAUAUUACUGUUUAACAGAAGAAAUGUCUUCCAGAGAAAAUAGUCCCGCUAUCGGUUCCUUUCUUUGGGUUGUCAUGCUAAGCAUGAUCAUGAAACCUCUGCUCCAAUGUAAGAGCAAAAUAUCGAGGAUUUAGUUUGGGAGGCCAGUUAAUAGCCCCCGAUAGUGUUCGGCGACAGUCGAGGUCAAGCCGGAAACACUUCGGCCCAUGAAUGGCCCGUCAUUUAAUAUAGUCAUUGCAUCGCUGACCAGUUUACACCUAUUGUGACAGUCAGUUUUCGGCUUUCUCCACUGAGGUGCUUGACCAUACGAGCUGGAAGCACAAUCGCAGUGGUUCUCCCUUUGCACAGCUAGCCGAACAAAGCGGAACGUAGGAGGCAAGCGCGGGAGCCGGGCAACCCAACUAUUGACCGAAGACACAAUUCAAAACUGAUGCAUAUAUAGCAAUAUCCGAGAAUGUUUUUGCCGAAUCUCAAAAGGUGUUCGGCGUUGCACUGCGAGACUUGUGCUGAAAACACACAAAUAUUUUAAAAGUGCCAUGAGCUCGAAAAGCCAAAAAACUGUAACGCCCCGAGACCGAUGUGCCAGGUGUCGUUCAGUUAUUCGUUGUUGUUGUCUUGUCAUUGGCUUGCGUGUUGCAUUUCAUCAUGUCAUCAUGUGCAUUGCAUCAUCGUGUUUUCAAAACUUGCAUCCGUCCCGGUCUCCUCGUUCCGUCCGUUGUCCGUUCUGAGCCCAGACACACUUGCACGCGCCCGCGGCAUGUCCGAAAUAUUAUUUUAUAAGUGGCCGGAAAAUGUUCUCAGAUUGGGUUGAAAUUUGGUGUGUGGUCUUAUUAUAGUGUAGACAGACCGCCUGUCCAGUUUCAUCGCAAUCGGAGUUCGUUUGACGCCCUAACGGAUAAAUAUAGCGGCAAUAGUAGCCGGUCAAAACGUCGGACGUUUUCGGUCUCCGGAAACAGUCGCCGGGCCUCCCUCUCUUCUCUUCUCUCAGCCCGAGACCGUCUGCACAACUCACUACCUCUCAUCACCAGGCCCUACCUAACCUCUCUCGUCAGCCUGCGACCCUCCUCGCGCGCGCCCGAAAGUUGUCCCGGACCCGAACCGAGCUGCCGCCACCGUUGCAUUCAGAUCAUCCCCUAACGUCUACAAAACAUCUCCGUUUUGUUAUUUGGGCUCCCUAACUAUUUUAUUCGCGACCGUCCGAUUUUAAUCGAAGGGACCAAAUGACCCUAAGCCUACCCCACUUGCUAUAUAAAUAGAUCAACCCUAAAACCUAGGCCGGCUGUCCCAUCCCCAUCCUCCCGCCGCCACUCCUCUCCCUCGGGAUCCUCCUAGAUUCCCUUCGCUCCAACCAGCCAUCACCGAAACUUCCAAAUCCAUCCCUGCUCGAUCUCGUCGGGAUCGAGGCUCUCUCCCGUCAGCCGUGCUCCUUCCCGAGCAGCGCACCCCGACGCCUCCUAGUCCCCGCAGCCGCGCAAGCACCCAUGGAGGCGUGCAUCCUCAAGCCCGUGCUCCUGCUCGACUCCACCGAGCGCAGCCGCCUCCCUGCCCGAUCCACCCAUGGAUCCAUCCGGCCUCGUCGUUCCCCAGCCUCACCCGCAUCAGGGUCCACCGGAUCCUGGCCAUGCCCUCGCCGGAGAACACCGUCGCGCGCCUGGUUCCGCUCGCCGUCGUCCUUCAUCCCGCAGCGCCCGAGCCCCCGUGCCAUGCUCCUCCUCCUGCCCCGCCGUGUCGUCGCCAUGGCCUACAGCUCGCCUCCGCCCUGUUCCCGGACGGACCCAUCCGUUCCGUACCCCUCCGGCCUCGCCUUCUGCCGUGGAGACCCCCCCGUCGGGCUCUGCUUCGCCACACCGCCGCACGCAGACCCCUCUGCUCAUCCAUGGCGCCCCUUGCCUCGUCCCGGUCCGGUGGAUCCGGCGCCCUCCUUCCCGCGUGGCACUGCGCCAGCCAAGCCCCGAACCUCGCCGGGAUCCCGCGCCGUUCUUGUCCCUCGCCGGAGCCAGAUGCAGCUCCGCCCCCGUCACCGUUUGCCUCGCCGCCCUUUCGCCUCGCUCGCCGGAGCUCUGCACCAGGAGCCGCCCGCAGCUCUGCAUUGAGCAGAGGACGAGCAGCUCGCCCGCUCGCCCCGUUGACCGCGCCAGUCCCGCGACCGCACGCGCCUGGGCCUCCUCUGCUUCGGCCCAGCCGCUCCCCUGCACCGCGCUAGGCCCAGCCGCGCAGAUCCGUCGCCCUGCCUUCCCUAUCCUCCGAUCGGGCCAAGGCCCAAGGGUGAGCAGACCCCAGCGCCCCUCCUCUGUUUUUUUUUCUACUGUUGGGCCAAGCAGAUUCAGCCCGUGUGUAUUUUUUUUCCCUGACCUGCGAUUUUAGCUUUAUCCAGUGAUUAACAGUUUUACAGAAAAACCCCUUAGCAUCAUGCAUUUAAUAACUCACAAACUGUGCAUCGGAUUAAAAUGUUUUAAACAUGCAAACUGCUUAGAAUUUUGUGUAGAUUAAUAUUCUGCCACUUUCAUCCAUGUUUAAAAAUGUUAAAAAUGCUGUUUGUUUAAUUUUGCUCAAAUGCCAUGUUAAAAUGCUUUAUUUCAUAACUAAAUAACCGUAGCUCCGAUUUAAAUAAACUUUAUAUGUAAAUGGGGUAGAAUUUUGCCUAGUUUAACAUGGUGGCCUUACUUUGCAUGUUUAACAACCCUAAAAUCGUGUUUAGGGCAGAACAGGACCAAACCUAAUUUAUGCUCAUGAGGAGUUUCCGGAAUUGUUGUUCGUUGCUUCCGGCCUCAUUUAAACUUGACUAGAUAGGUAGUUUGACUUUGCUUCACCCUCUUGCCAUGUUAAUCAACAUUUAAUAUUGUUGGGGUACAUAAACGAGAUCAAACUAAAUAACUUGUUGUGGUGUUUCGUCAAUAUGCAACUCGUUGCAUAUUGAUCUCCACUUAAUUUGUAGAACUGCUUGUGCACUUGCCAUGCCAUGCCUCAUUAAACCGGACAUGCAUCAUACUCGUUUGUGCAUCAUGCCAUGUUGUUGUGGUGGUUGUUUACUAUGUUGUGUGCUUCUUUUCCGGUGAUUGCUUCUUCGGGUUGGUUCCGAUAACGUCGAGGUUGUGAGGAUCCAUUCGUCUACGUCCAUUUGUCUUCUUCAUGGACUCGUUCUUCUUCCUUGCGGGAUUUCAGGCAAGAUGAUCAUACCCUCGAAAUCACUACUAUCUUUGCUAUGCUAGUUUGCUCGCUCUUUUGCUAUGCCAUUGCUACGAUGCCUACCACUUGCUUGUCAGCCACCCAAAUUGCCAUGUCAAACCUCUAACCCACCAUGUCCUAGCAAACCGUUGAUUGGCUAUGUUACCGCUUUGCUCAACCCCUCUUAUAGCGUUGUUAGUUGCAGGUGAAGAUCGAAGUUUGUUCCUUGUUGGAACAUGGAGAUGUUGUUCCUUGUUGGAACAUGUUUACUUGUUGGGAUAUCAUAAUAUAUCUUACUUAAUUAAUGCAUCUAUAUACUUGGUAAAGGGUGGAAGGCUCGGCCUUAUGCCUGGUGUUUUGUUCCACUCUUGCCGCCCUAGUUUCCGUCAUAUCGGUGUUAUGUUCCCGGAUUUUGCGUCCCUUACGCGGUUGGGCUAUAAUGGGAACCCCUUGACAGUUCGCCUUAAGUAAAGCUUCUCCAGCAAUGCCCAACAUUGGUUUUACCAUUUGCCACCUAGCCUUUUCUUUUCCCUUGGGAGUCGCGCUCCUGAGGGUCAUCAUUAUUUUACCCCCCCCCCGGGCCAGUGCUCCUCUGAGUGUUGGUCCAACUGUCAGCUACCGGUGACCACCAGGGGCAACUCUGGGUUGGCCUACCCGUACCUAAGACAAUCUGAGUGUGCCCUGAGAAAGAGAUAUGUGCAGCUCCUAUCGGGAUUUGUCGGCACAUUCGGGCGGUGUUGCUGGUUUAGUUUUACCCUGUCGAAAUGUCUUGUUGUACCGGGAUACCGAGUCUGAUCGGAGUGUCUCGGGUGGAGGUCUAUUCCUUCGUUGACCGUGAGAGCUUGUCAUGGGCUAAGUUGGGACACCCCUGCAGGGAUUUGAACUUUCGAAAGCCGUGCCCGCGGUUAUGGGCAGAUGGGAAUUUGUUAACGCCCGGUUGUAGAAAACCCGAAGUUGACCUUAAUUAAAAUACAUCAACCGCGUGUGUAACCGUGAUGGUCUCUUUCCGGCGGAGUCCAGGAAGUGAACACGGUGUUGGAGUUAUGCUUGACGUAGGUAGUCCAGGAUCACUUCUUGAUCAUACCUUUAUCGACCGUGCUUUGCCUUCUCUUCUCGCUCUCAUUUGCGUAUGUUAGCCACCAUAUAUGCUAGUCGCUUGCUGCAGCUCCACCUCAUACCUUUACCUUACCCAUAAGCUUAAAUAGUAUUGAUCUCGCGGGUGCGAGAUUGCUGAGUCCCCGUGGCUCACAGAUACUUCCAAAACCAGCUUGCAGGUGCCGUUGAGUCCGUGUAGAUGACGCAACCAAGCUCAAGGAGGAGCUCGAUGAAGAUCUUGUCCUUUAUGUCGUUUCGUGUUAGUUGAUCAGUAGUGGAGCCCAGUUGGGGUCGAUCGGGGACCUUUGUCGCAUUUGGGGUUCUUCUUUUAUUUAGGCUCCAUAGUCGGGCCCUGAUUGUAUUUGGUUGUUGUAAUGCUUUAUUCAUGUAUUUGUGUGAAGUGGCGAUUGUAAGCCACCUAUGUAUCUCUUUCCCAUAUGUAUUACAUGGGUUGUGUGAAGAUUACCUCACUUGCGACAUUGCUUUCAAUGCGGUUAUGCCUCUAAGUCGUGCUUCGACACGUGGGAGAUAUAGCCGCAUCGAGGGCGUUACAAGUUGGUAAUCAGAGCCUUCCCCGACCUUAGGAGCCCCAUUGCUUGAUCGUUUUUAGUGGCCGAGUUGUGUCUAGAAAAAUGUUUUGAGUCAUUUAGGAAUUAUAUAUCGGAGAGUUUAGGAAUUCUUUUUACUCCUCAGUCCCUUCGUCACUCUUGCAAGGCAUCCUGACGUAGAGUUUUGACUCUUCUCUUCUCAAAUUUCACUAAAAUUUUUUUUUUAGGAUCACGCGGGUAUCUUGGAAUCGUUCCGAUGGUUUUAUGAUGAGAACAUUGUCUUGGUGCCUCCUGUCAGGGGUUUAGUGGAAGUGUCCCGGGGAGUUGAGCUCUGAGGUGUUGUCGUCAUAAUUUUAUCGUUGCAGUUCUGGAAUACCUGAGUUUAGUACGCCGACAUCGAAAAUCUCUUUUAUGCAGUUGUUGGUGAGAUAACCCCGAUAACCCAGUACUGAGGUGAGUACGGGAGUAUCGCCAUAACUUGUAUAACGGAUGCUUUUCGAAGGUUGAGGUAGAUGAUUUCCGAAGGUUUCUUGGUUAUGUGUUGAAGGAUGGAUACAGCUGGAUGUAGGAUUUGCUAGUUUGGGUGAGAUAUUAUGCUUCCCCUGUAUCCCCAACACCUGAUUGCAUAACCAGAAAAUUUCGGGAGUUUCAUAGGUGGGAAUUCAAGUAGCUCUUAGGAUAUCUUUCCGACGGAUGUAUGAUAUGAAAUUGGGGUUCGACGUCUAGUGGUCCGCCUAUUCACGGUCGAUUUUACAGUGGUCUCGUUGUGUCUUAAAGAGUCCUUGGCUAUGCCGACUCGCGGACGCUUCGUAUGUCAUGUGCACUGCCUUGUACAUGAUGGUGUUGUAUGAUCGAGCCCGUGUAGGCCCCACCACGAAAACUUCGUCUAUCAUAUGUUUGUUCCGGCUUAUUCUGCAAGCCAGUCCUUUGUUUUUGUUUUGAGUUGUGGUAUUCGAGUUGCUUCAAUGUCAAGUGUUGAUUCCAUACCUUUCCGAAAUGGUGUUCUCAUACUCCGAUGUGAAUACCAAUCCUUCUCGACAAUCGAGAUUGUCAUGUCAAUCCUUUUCAACCAGCGUCUUUCUCUUCAAGUGGAUCCGAUCAUUUCAACAUUUGCAAGAUCAUUUAUCACUUCUUCUCAACGGUGUUUGUUUCAUCCGUCCCAAGUUGUUUUUGUUUUCCCGCCCUCCCACCCCUUUUUCUUCAAGGACUCGGAUUUCUUAAUCGAGUAUCCAUUUUAUUGAUGGGAAGUUUCUCCAUUCUUUUCCGUCAAUGUUCUUAUCCGGUGAUUCUCAUGAAGAUUCUAAUGGAGCUUCAAGUUUGUCAUUCCUCGUUCUUUUCUUCUCCGGUGGAUUUAAUUCAAGCUUUGGUAUUAAGCAUACUCCUUUUCUUUUUUUUUCCAAUGCUUUUCUUAUGCCGGUGCACCUCUUAAUCAUCCAUCUCUCGCUAUUAAAUUGUUCCGGAGUGCUCAAGAUAUCUCGAAGAUUCGUGUUUCCACUCUGCAUUCGUUCAAGAUCUUUCGAGGAUGUUCUCUCAUUCAAGUCUUUUAUUUCAACCGGUGCAUUAUCUCUCUUCAAAUUGUCCAACGGUGUUUCUUUUGAGUGGACCCUAACCCACAGGUCUUUUCCCAGGAUCUUACCUGACUCUUCUAUUUUCCCAGAGCUAUCCUAAAUUCUUCUCCAAGUUUGACGUAAGAACGAGUUAUCAUCAGUCAAAUGCUUUUCUCCAAGAUCUUUCAAAUUCUUUUCAUAGUUGGCUCAACCUCUUCGCUUUUGAUUCUUCCGGUGUGCCUCAAUAAUUCUUGGUGGUGUUUCUCGUUGUCAUUCUCAUCAUUUUGAAGACCGAAGAAGAGUUUCUCUUUAAUCUUGCUCUAUUCUCUUCAAGAUUCUUGGUGCUAGCUUGAUGCCAUCCUCUCAUAGUUGUUUUCGAUUGUCAGAAUUCUUUUCACUCAUCCGGAGUAAUUCAGAGUAUUUUCUGUCAGAUUAUCCGGAGCCCAUCGUCUAAGUUUGACUCAGUCCAGCUUUCAGCUCGCAUACUCUAAAUCAUACUGGUGCUUCGUUCAAGUGAUCUUUAAUCGGCUCGUGAUCUCGUCGUUCUCAUGUAUCUAAAUCCUCUCAAGCAUCUUCGUGUAUUUGCUAAUUCUUCCCGGUGUCUUCCUUAUCUUUUCUUUGUUCAUUUUUAAUUCUUACGGUGGUUCUUUCAAGAUCUCUCUUCCUUGUUCAUCAUAUCAAUUCAUUUGUUGCUCCAAUCCUACCGGUGGUUCGUUGAAGACCUUCUCAAGUUUUGAUAUAUCUCUUUUAAUCCUUUCUACGAGAAUAAGUAGUAUGCCAAAUCCGUUGAUUGUCGUCAAUUUAAUUGGUGAAGGAUAAGCAUAACAUAAUUCUUAUUCUUGUUCAUCCAAGUGAUUAAUUCUUUAUUCCGGAGGCCCUUAAAAUUCUCGGUUUCAUUUGUUUCAUCUUCUCUUUUUCCCGGAGUUCCAAGCUCUAAUUAUCACGGAGAUCCAUCUAAAUCAUUGCAAGGAUUCACCUUGUGUUUUCAAUUUCUCUUUCUUUUCAUUCCUUUUGUUUACCGGAGUUCUUCAUGGAGGUUCUACAUGAUGGUUCAUCAAGGAUUUAAUUCCCUUCUCAAAGUUUUCAUCGAGAUUCUUUCCUAAGGAGCUCAAGCUUUCUUCAUAUGGUAAUUCGGAGUGCAAUUCUUUCUACCUUAUCUUUUGAGGUGGUAUUAUGUCAUUCUUGAUAAUUUCCCUUCGUGCUUCGUGUUUCAUAAGUUAUCAAGUAUGAGUUAUUUUUAAAUCCAUCAAUCUCGUCAUUGGAGUUAUCUUGGAUUAUAUUUCACCUUAAGCCUUUCCUAAGGAUUGUUGCCAUUUAUGGUGCUUGUAAAUGAUCCAAGUACUUCAUUUAUCCUCCCGGUGAAAUACGUUUCUCGUCUCCUCGUUCAUAUCAAUCCAAUUCUUCUUCCCGUGAGUGGCAGGUUGUCAUCUCAUAAUUUGAGAUGUAUUUCAUAAGACCAUAUCAAGAUUAUUCUUUUCAUUGUUGGUUUUCAACAACUCCAUUCUAGCAUUUGUUGUAUCUGUGAUCUCUCAAGAUCUUGUUUCCCUUCGUUCCGGAGUCAUUGUGAUGUUGCUCUUUUCAACCCAUCACAUCGUUUUGUCAAGAUCAUGUUAUUUUCUUGCUUAUCCAUUUAACCGGUGUGUUCUCAUUCAAGUUCUUUUAUCUUAUCAAGUUUUGCCUCUCUUUCAACCGGACCGCUGUCUGAAAUCCUUCUUACCCUUUGUGACAUUCUUUCAAUAGUUCCGGAGGCAGUGUGUUGUUGAUUUCAUCAAGUAUCAUCCCAUCUUCUCAAGUUCAUGUUCAAUUCCUUCCAUGUUCAACCGGAGUGCUGCCCGAAUUCUUCCCCUCUCAUUUUGUUUUAACCGGAGUGGUUUCGAAUUCUAUCUUGUCCAUUAAACUCUUGGUUCGUGUCUUUGCAACCUUCAAGUCCUCGUAAUGUUCCUUGUUCCUUUUUUCUAACGGAUUGUUUGCAAUCUCGUUCAUCUCUGUUGUACUCUUUCUUUUAAAUUGCUCAACCUCUCAAGGUUCAUGGUUUCACUCGUUGGGCAAAGAAGCAACUUAGUUUUACCUCUCCUCUCUUUCUCUUCCGUUGUCCCUCCGGUGCCAUUCUAGAUCUCGGGACGAGAUCCUCUCAUAGUGGUGGAGUGUUGUAACGCCCCGAGACCGAUGUGCCAGGUGUCGUUCAGUUAUUCGUUGUUGUUGUCUUGUCAUUGGCUUGCGUGUUGCAUUUCAUCAUGUCAUCAUGUGCAUUGCAUCAUCGUGUUUUCAAAACUUGCAUCCGUCCCGGUCUCCUCGUUCCGUCCGUUGUCCGUUCUGAGCCCAGACACACUUGCACGCGCCCGCGGCAUGUCCGAAAUAUUAUUUUAUAAGUGGCCGGAAAAUGUUCUCAGAUUGGGUUGAAAUUUGGUGUGUGGUCUUAUUAUAGUGUAGACAGACCGCCUGUCCAGUUUCAUCGCAAUUGGAGUUCGUUUGACGCCCUAACGGAUAAAUAUAGCGGCAAUAGUAGCCGGUCAAAACGUCGGACGUUUUCGGUCUCCGGAAACAGUCGCCGAGCCUCCCUCUCUUCUCUUCUCUCAGCCCGAGACCGUCUGCACAACUCACUACCUCUCAUCACCAGGCCCUACCUAACCUCUCUCGUCAGCCUGCGACCCUCCUCGCGCGCGCCCGAAAGUUGUCCCGGACCCGAACCGAGCUGUCGCCACCGUUGCAUUCAGAUCAUCCCCUAACGUCUACAAAACAUCUCCGUUUUGUUAUUUGGGCUCCCUAACUAUUUUAUUCGCGACCGUCCAAUUUUAAUCGAAGGGACCAAAUGACCCUAAGCCUACCCCACUUGCUAUAUAAAUAGAUCAACCCUAAAACCUAGGCCGGCUGUCCCAUCCCCAUCCUCCCGCCGCCACUCCUCUCCCUCGGGAUCCUCCUAGAUUCCCUUCGCUCCAACCAGCCAUCACCGAAACUUCCAAAUCCAUCCCUGCUCGAUCUCGUCGGGAUCGAGGCUCUCUCCCGUCAGCCGUGCUCCUUCCCGAGCAGCGCACCCCGACGCCUCCUAGUCCCCGCAGCCGCGCAAGCACCCAUGGAGGCGUGCAUCCUCAAGCCCGUGCUCCUGCUCGACUCCACCGAGCGCAGCCGCCUCCCUGCCCGAUCCACCCAUGGAUCCAUCCGGCCUCGUCGUUCCCCAGCCUCACCCGCAUCAGGGUCCGCCGGAUCCUGGCCAUGCCCUCGCCGGAGAACACCGUCGCGCGCCUGGUUCCGCUCGCCGUCGUCCUUCAUCCCGCAGCGCCCGAGCCCCCGUGCCAUGCUCCUCCUCCUGCCCCGCCGUGUCGUCGCCAUGGCCUACAGCUCGCCUCCGCCCUGUUCCCGGACGGACCCAUCCGUUCCGUACCCCUCCGGCCUCGCCUUCUGCCGUGGAGACCCCCCCGUCGGGCUCUGCUUCGCCACACCACCGCACGCAGACCCCUCUGCUCAUCCAUGGCGCCCCUUGCCUCGUCCCGGUCCGGUGGAUCCGGCGCCCUCCUUCCCGCGUGGCACUGCGCCAGCCAAGCCCCGAACCUCGCCGGGAUCCCGCGCCGUUCUUGUCCCUCGCCGGAGCCAGAUGCAGCUCCGCCCCCGUCACCGUUUGCCUCGCCGCCCUUUCGCCUCGCUCGCCGGAGCUCUGCACCAGGAGCCGCCCGCAGCUCUGCAUUGAGCAGAGGACGAGCAGCUCGCCCGCUCGCCCCGUUGACCGCGCCAGUCCCGCGACCGCACGUGCCUGGGCCUCCUCUGCUUCGGCCCAGCCGCUCCCCUGCAUCGCGCUAGGCCCAGCCGCGCAGAUCCGUCGCCCUGCCUUCCCUAUCCUCCGAUCGGGCCAAGGCCCAAGGGUGAGCAGACCCCAGCGCCCCUCCUCUGUUUUUUUUUCUACUGUUGGGCCAAGCAGAUUCAGCCCGUGUGUAUUUUUUUCCCUGACCUGCGAUUUUAGCUUUAUCCAGUGAUUAACAGUUUUACAGAAAAACCCCUUAGCAUCAUGCAUUUAAUAACUCACAAACCAUGCAUCGGAUUAAAAUGUUUUAAACAUGCAAACUGCUUAGAAUUUUGUGUAGAUUAAUAUUCUGCCACUUUCAUCCAUGUUUAAAAAUGUUAAAAAUGCUGUUUGUUUAAUUUUGCUCAAAUGCCAUGUUAAAAUGCUUUAUUUCAUAACUAAAUAACCGUAGCUCCGAUUUAAAUAAACUUUAUAUGUAAAUGGGGUAGAAUUUUGCCUAGUUUAACAUGGUGGCCUUACUUUGCAUGUUUAACAACCCUAAAAUCGUGUUUAGGGCAGAACAGGACCAAACCUAAUUUAUGCUCAUGAGGAGUUUCCGGAAUUGUUGUUCGUUGCUUCCGGCCUCAUUUAAACUUGACUAGAUAGGUAGUUUGACUUUGCUUCACCCUCUUGCCAUGUUAAUCAACAUUUAAUAUUGUUGGGGUACAUAAACGAGAUCAAACUAAAUAACUUGUUGUGGUGUUUCGUCAAUAUGCAACUCGUUGCAUAUUGAUCUCCACUUAAUUUGUAGAACUGCUUGUGCACUUGCCAUGCCAUGCCUCAUUAAACCGGACAUGCAUCAUACUCGUUUGUGCAUCAUGCCAUGUUGUUGUGGUGGUUGUUUACUAUGUUGUGUGCUUAUUUUCCGGUGAUUGCUUCUUCGGGUUGGUUCCGAUAACGUCGAGGUUGUGAGGAUCCAUUCGUCUACGUCCGUUUGUCUUCUUCAUGGACUCGUUCUUCUUCCUUGCGGGAUUUCAGGCAAGAUGAUCAUACCCUCGAAAUCACUACUAUCUUUGCUAUGCUAGUUUGCUCGCUCUUUUACUAUGCCAUUGCUACGAUGCCUACCACUUGCUUGUCAGCCACCCAAAUUGCCAUGUCAAACCUCUAACCCACCAUGUCCUAGCAAACCGUUGAUUGGCUAUGUUACCGCUUUGCUCAGCCCCUCUUAUAGCGUUGUUAGUUGCAGGUGAAGAUCGAAGUUUGUUCCUUGUUGGAACAUGGAGAUGUUGUUCCUUGUUGGAACAUGUUUACUUGUUGGGAUAUCACAAUAUAUCUUACUUAAUUAAUGCAUCUAUAUACUUGGUAAAGGGUGGAAGGCUCGGCCUUAUGCCUGGUGUUUUGUUCCACUCUUGCCGCCCUAGUUUCCGUCAUAUCGGUGUUAUGUUCCCGGAUUUUGCGUCCCUUACGCGGUUGGGCUAUAAUGGGAACCCCUUGACAGUUCGCCUUAAGUAAAGCUUCUCCAGCAAUGCCCAACAUUGGUUUUACCAUUUGCCACCUAGCCUUUUCUUUUCCCUUGGGAGUCGCGCUCCUGAGGGUCAUCAUUAUUUUACCCCCCCCGGGCCAGUGCUCCUCUGAGUGUUGGUCCAACUGUCAGCUACCGGUGACCACCAGGGGCAACUCUGGGUUGGCCUACCCGUACCUAAGACAAUCUGAGUGUGCCCUGAGAAAGAGAUAUGUGCAGCUCCUAUCGGGAUUUGUCGGCACAUUCGGGCGGUGUUGCUGGUUUAGUUUUACCCUGUCGAAAUGUCUUGUUGUACCGGGAUACCGAGUCUGAUCGGAGUGUCUCGGGUGGAGGUCUAUUCCUUCGUUGACCGUGAGAGCUUGUCAUGGGCUAAGUUGGGACACCCCUGCAGGGAUUUGAACUUUCGAAAGCUGUGCCCGCGGUUAUGGGCAGAUGGGAAUUUGUUAACGUCCGGUUGUAGAAAACCCGAAGUUGACCUUAAUUAAAAUACAUCAACCGCGUGUGUAACCGUGAUGGUCUCUUUCCGGCGGAGUCCGGGAAGUGAACACGGUGUUGGAGUUAUGCUUGACGUAGGUAGUCCAGGAUCACUUCUUGAUCAUACCUUUAUCGACCGUGCUUUGCCUUCUCUUCUCGCUCUCAUUUGCGUAUGUUAGCCACCAUAUAUGCUAGUCGCUUGCUGCAGCUCCACCUCAUACCUUUACCUUACCCAUAAGCUUAAAUAGUCUUGAUCUCGCGGGUGCGAGAUUGCUGAGUCCCCGUGGCUCACAGAUACUUCCAAAACCAGCUUGCAGGUGCCGUUGAGUCCGUGCAGAUGACGCAACCAAGCUCAAGGAGGAGCUCGAUGAAGAUCUUGUCCUUUAUGUUGUUUCGUGUUAGUUGAUCAGUAGUGGAGCCCAGUUGGGGUCGAUCGGGGACCUUUGUCGCAUUUGGGGUUCUUCUUUUAUUUAGGCUCCGUAGUCGGGCCCUGAUUGUAUUUGGUUGUUGUAAUGCUUUAUUCAUGUAUUUGUGUGAAGUGGCGAUUGUAAGCCAACUAUGUAUCUCUUUCCCAUAUGUAUUACAUGGGUUGUGUGAAGAUUACCUCACUUGCGACAUUGCUUUCAAUGCGGUUAUGCCUCUAAGUCGUGCUUCGACACGUGGGAGAUAUAGCCGCAUCGAGGGCGUUACAAAAACUUAUUCAAAAGAUUAAUGUCCGAACUAGAUCAAGUGUUCGGUGCCAAUCCGAAAAUUGGACUUUAGAAAAAAAGGUGCUUCUGUUGUGCUUUAACAUGACACAUCCUAUCUCAAAACUUCAAGCGGGUCAGCCUACGGCUUCAACCUCCUAUCCCGAAGGUGGAGUACUCCCCGGCUAGCGACCGCACACUUGUGUCGAAAAAAGGAGUGAUAAAUAAUAAAAACUUUGCAACGGCUAGGAAGAGAAACACUUAGUAUGAAACAGCUCAAAUAAACAUAAGAGCCCCAAGUGACUUGGGUAAAAGUUGACUAUAUAAUGUAAGGUGACAUGUAGAAUGCCUUCUAGCUGGAUUGUAGAUUGUUUGUCAUAGCGGACCUUUUCGCUUCAACCUCUGGACCCAAUAGUCCGGAAUGUGUCCGAAUACCCUCGCGGUUAUAAAAACCGGGGCAUGCGUGGAGACCAGGCGUAGGGGUCCUUAGUGCUUUAUCAGACAAGUGCCCAACUAGUUAUGUUAUAUUACAUGGUUAGUAAGAAACAUCUUCCAGGGAGAAUAGUUCCGUUAGGGGUUCCUUUCCCUGGGAGGCAUGCCCUAAAGUGCAUGUCCGGACUGCGAAAAGAGCAGAAAAACAUCUGGGGGUAGGUAAAUAAAUAGGUAAGCAAUCAUCUUUUAGUUCACCGACCGAGUAUUCCCUUAAGAACGCUAGCUUUCGGCUUCACCCAGUCUGAGGUACACAUCCAGCUGACCCGGCAGUAACAAUCGCAGAGGUGCUCCCUUUACCACCUAGCCGAACAAUCGGGAACAUAGGGGUAAGCACAGGAGCCAGGCAACCCAGCUUGGCCAAAACUUAAGUCAUAUCGAUGCAUAUAAUGGUGAAUAAAAGGUACAUGCGGAAGUGUGACACAUGUGUUGGGCAUAAAGCCCGAAUUAAUAAGCUUCUGUUAAAGAAGCUCCCAGGUAUAAUGAGCGCGGGUAGCGCGUCAAGUGUGUGCGAACAAAGUUUUGACAAGGAAGAUUUUUACAAGCAACUUUUUUUUCGAGAAAGUAUAAUGCUUGGUCGAACCGAACACAAGUUAGAAAUUUUAAAACUUUGAGCAUGAAGGCAACUUAGCUGGUUAAUGUGUUCGGUAUUGACGAUGCGGUCCGAGCUUGAUGAGGGACAAGGUUCCAUCCCCCAAGCCGGUCCCGAGGUGGCGGAGCAAAGAGCUCGGCACUGUGAAGUGGUGAUAUAGUAUGGUCAAUGCAGGACGGCAGAGUGAUGCCGAAGUCCCUGGCAUGGGGUAAUGAGGUGUUGACGAAGCCCCCCGUCCAGCCGAGGUGACGUCAAAGGAUAUAGUCCGGCUGGAUCAUUUUCCUGUGCACAAAAAAUAGUGCAAACCAGAGAUAAUAGUAAAAAAAAUCGUUGCAUAAUAAAUAAUUUAUGCAAAGUGAGUAAUAAAAGAAAUAUGGCCUGGCGCCGAAGUCGAUGUCGAUGUAGGUCGUCGGCGUAAUGCAAUAAAGGCGUGGCAAAGCCUGGAUUCACAGACCGGUUCGAGUUCCGGAUGCGGCGUUCGCCGGACUAUGUAUGGAAACUGACCGAACCAUCAUGCGACCGUCGAUAAUGCGGCCACCAUCUGAUAGACCUGUGUACAUAUGAUGGACAAACCAGAGUAAUAUUUCCUUGGGAAAAAUUAACCCAAACUAGCAAAAAGAAAUACUAGGACUAAUAGCACAUGGUUUAUUGGUUGUAGCAAUCCGAAGGAAGGUGAUUCCCAAAAUUGAGACUCGAUCCGUGCACCCAUUGCCUGAUCGGCUAGUGACGCCGAAGUGUUCGGAGUAGGUUGAUGAAGAGAUGGCGAAGCCCCCGGUCCAACCGAGAUGUCGAAGUAGGUCGGCGUGAUGGACACCAGCUUGAAGAAGCAAUAGUGCGGCCCUGCCGAUGCAGGUCGUGACGCGGUUGAUGCCGGCUUGAUGAAGCGACCGCGUGGCGAUGCGGGUAUGCCCGCUCCGUGUAAUCCGUGGGGCGGUGAUGUUGGUGAUGAUUUAUCCUUCGCGAUGCCGGAUUCUUGUUCGGCUUGCCAAGAUGAUGAUCCGAAGAAGUUGAGUUUGGCUCAACAAAGUGACAACGUGUCUAGCGCAGGUCGGUAGCCGUGGAGCAAUAUUGCCGGACUGGUUUGAUACCAGCAUGAUGUUGAAGAUCAUGUUCAAAAGAUCUUAAAGUUAGUGGGAUGUGUUCGGGAACCAAACACAAUACCCCAUACAAAACUUCCUUCAAAAAGGAUGUCCGAAAUCCCGUUCAUAAAAAAGACGAACUCGGGUCGGAUUUUUUUCGCGCAGAAAACAGAUCCAAAAAGUGAUGCACUGAUCGGAAGUUUCCCGGAGUUCGGACGGUCGGAUCGAGCUGAAUUUUUGGCAGGUGGUAGAUAAGGGAAUUCCGCAGCAAAUCAACGGUUGGAUCCUCCAAAGGACAUCCGAGCUAGACGCUGGAUACCACGCCCUAAACUCGUCCGGAUUCUCGUCCAGAUUCAACAGGGCUCCGGUAUAUCGGAGAUCGCCGGAGAUUCCUCCAUCGGAACUCGACGAAAUUUUUGCAGGGUUGUUGUAGACUUAAUUCCUCAUAAUUCCACCGAAGUAAUUGUUUAAGCGACACUCGAGGAGGCGGUGGCGGCGGAUACAAGUUUGCUGUCCAGAAAAACAGCACGGUCGCCUGAGGGCAAUGUUGACGUUGAGCCCCCGGGCUCCAUGGAUGACUCCUCCAUGAUCUUGAUAGAGAUCGGAGUUGAUGUUGACGAAGGCCCUCAUCCGAACAUGACGAUCGGAGGUAGGGUGCAGUCCUUGGUCAAGCCAAGGUGACCAGUCAAACUGGUGACGAAGAAGCCGACGUCGCAGUUGACCUGCAGUCGAGCCAUUGAUCCUUUCGCCGAUCACACAGUGGAACUCUCAAUGAAAGCACCAAUGUCGGUGUCAAAACCGGCGGAUCUCGGGUAGGGGGUCCCGAGCUGUGCGUCUUAGGAUCAAUGGUAACAGGAGACAAGGGACACGAUGUUUUUACCCAGGUUCGGGCCCUCUUGAUGGAGGUAAAACCCUACGUCCUGCUCGAUUAAUAUUGAUGAUGUGUAUUACAAGAGUGGAUCUACCACGAGAUCAAGAAGGCUAAACCCUAGAAGCUAGCCUAUGAUAUGAUUGUUGUUGUAUAUGUCCUCUAUCGACUAGCCUGGCCCCGGUUUAUAUAAUGCACCAGAGGCCUAGGAUAACAAGAGUCCUAGCCGAAUACGCCAAUGGGGGAGGAGUCCUUGUCUUGAUCGCCAAGUCUUGUUGAUUCUUCCUUGUAUGCGGUAGCUGUCCGGACUAGCCCAUGAGUAUACGGCCAUGGGGGUCCUCGGCCCAAUCCAACUGAUCGGGAGACGACAUGGUGAGUACCCCCUAGUCCAGGACACCGUCAGGUAUCUUUUUCAUUUUUUAAAAAUACAUUUCUGUACACUUCUUGCAAAUCUAUAAACCCCUUGAUUCCAUCAUAUCAAAAUGUAUAGAGAUAUCCACUGACCCAAUUCCAAUGAAACCAGUUUGGUUAUUUUUCAUAUAACUAGAGAUGCCCUAGAAAAGUCAAAUCAAUAUUUUUAGAGCAUUUUUAUUUUUUGCCUUGUUGUGUUGCUUACUAUGAUUGUUUCCAACGUUAGUUGACGAAGUAGACAAAAUACUCAGAGACGUACCAGAAGACUAUGAAGACCCAGAAGACCUUGCUGAACCAGGCAAGCAGCCCUUUGACCAUGAUGUACCAUUUUACAUCAUAAUAGCAUUUUUGUUGCUUCACUGAGUGCAUGAUAUACUUUGAAUGGUAACCUUGCUAGGCUUGCCUCCAUUGCAUACUCCAUUGAUACUUGCAUUGAUCAUGACUCUACCCUUGCUUAGAGUUGUGUUGGUGGGUUGUAGAAAUAUGCUAUAGUAGAUGGCUACGCAAUGUGGGUCAGGGUUAUGCAUGGAAAGAAACAAGUGUGGUUUGACAUACUUGCAAACAGCCCCAGUGGGUGCCACUGAUGCCCCUGGGAGAUGAUGAUGAACUAGGUCACUACUUGGUGGAGAAGUAGUGUACCGAGGUUUGAUUAAAGUGUUGUUUACAGAGACGGAUUAGAUUUAAGAUUUGUCGACUUUCCCAACCUUACAUGCGCAACCACUCUACCAUUAUAUGGGAAAGGGCAUUAUUGAUUACCUAGGCCGAUACUAGCUUGGAGCCCGCAUUACUAGUAACGGGAGAGUCGUUGUUGCCCUCUCUUGGGACGGGGUCGUGCCAGGUAGGAUGGCCAUGACUGUUUUCACAGGGCACCGGAUACACCGUUGGUACCCCGUGCUUGUGGUAUGUGAUGAAUAUGGGAGCGAGGCUCCACAAUUUUAAGAUGUGAAAUGUUGGGCACGGGGGUUACUACCAAUCGAGUGGACUCUAUGUUAGUGUCGUCUAGGGAAAGAUAGUGAUCGGCUGCUUACCCCGGGUACUUGAGGUAUCGCAGGUCGUGGAUGACACAAAAGUUCCCCGGAUCUUGUGGGUAAAGUGUGCAACCUCUGCAGAGUGUAAAACUAUUCGAAUAGCUGUGUCGACGGUCAAGGACAGUUGGGUGGUGCUGCUUAGACUAUGUCCAUAUGUUUCUGGAAAACAACACGGUUUGGUAAAUCUAUUGACGUGAUUCAUGAGGAAGUCACGUUGAGCUUGAGCAUGAGUUAUUCAUAACUCCUUCUCUAUGUUGAUGUCUAUAACCUCCUGAUACUUGUUGCAAACACAUUUAUGUCCUUGACAAAUGAUGAUCAUACUUGUAUGAGAAAAACUAGCUUUUCGCAAAGAUGCCAAAUUAGCAGUAGAGCCUUGCAUACUUAUUCUGUUAUCACUCUUGGGUUUCUUGCGAGUACAUUCAAAGAACUUAUUGACUUGCCACUGGUUAUUUUAUUGGCCAGGUAUGAAAGACAAGACAUAUUGAAGAGUUCUUUGGUGACGAUCGUGCGAGUUAGGACGCUCUCCCAGUCAGAAUGCUUGUAGGGUUAAGGCAGAUGGCAUGGGUCCAAGUUAUUGACGAAGAUUUCCGCUGCAAUGUUAUGCUCAAGACUUGACCAUAAUGGUUGUAAUUCAUGUAAGACGGUAUGUAUGGAUGUAAGACUCUUGUUAUUCAGCUUCUGUGUGUUCAGUGAGCAUUGAUCUCUAGGAUUAUUGUACACGUGCAUUCGGUGAUCACGACUUAUGAAUCGGGAUCCCCAUAUUUCAGUUCCAAAGAACACAAAUAUUUAUUUGAGAUAAUUUGCAUGUGUAGCAAUGUAGUUGUAUACAGGGCAUGCAAGUAAGAAACAGAGUAAGUCAGAAUUAUGAACCAAAGGUCCUAUUUAAUUGGUCCAGGUUUGCUUUUUCAUUGUUUUUAUUUCUUUAAUGUAUAUGUGGAGGUAUAACAGUUUCUUAGACCACACAUAUAUAUAGAAAGUUCUUGCCUGUUCUCUGUACACACCUUGAGUGGGCUCUAAUUAAUCCCCAGUAUGGCGUAAAAUUAAGUGGUUAAUAAGAAUCUCCCAUGAAUUUGUAUUGACUAUAUCAUUUAUCUUUCAUGAAAUUGCAUCUUUUCUGUGUUAAAAUAUAAUUGUGUUUAAGAUAGAGGUAGGAAUUAGAGAUAGAAUGGGUUUAACAUGUACGACUUGCCCUCUACUCCAAGUCUCUCUCCCUCACAAUGUAUUCUAUAUAUACCCCAUAUGAGGGUCGAAUCAAUACAAUAGAAACAACACAAUAUUCAGCCACACUUUCACAUGGUAUCAGAGCGAUUUGUCUCACGACGUCGAUCCUAGGAACCUUCCACCACACUUUCGUAGCGCGCAACCCCUGGAGAGAUUAAUCUCCUCUCCCCGGGGGCGCAACACCCGGUCAAGCAAAGAUCAGAUCGAUUUCAUAGAUUAGAUCAAUCCAUAGAUUAGAACAAUUUGAAAUUCUCUUAGAUUGAUCUUUCUUUCUUUAGCCACAAAUAAAUUCCUCUCCCUGGCCCUCAAAUCCGGUGAGAUCAAUAUGGCACAACGCUCGUGCAACAGCGGAGCACACGCGAUAGGUCGCACGGUCCAGAAGAGCAGCCACCGGUUUUUGUCCAGGUGGCCCGACGGCGCAUCUGCGCAAGCGCAUCUUCAUCGACCUCUGGCUCCGGCCGGCACGCCGGGGAUAUGUACGGGCGACCGGCAGCCUAGACAUACGAUCUGUUUUUGAUCGGCUUCGGCACACACCCAUCGCGUCGACAAGUCGGACAGCAUCGGUUCCCUUGGAGCCGGCACUUGCACUACAUCGGCAAGCACCUCCAUCGACCCAUGCAGGCAUGCAUGCACAAAAACUGCACGUAUGUGCUAUAUCACGACUCAGGCUUGGUUUGGAUUCAGCUAGCUUGAAGCCUUCAACGAUGCAACUCCGAGGGCCCGGUUGCACGUGUCUACAUCAUCCCGACGCACGGCGACUCCGUGGGCGCUCGAUCACGGAAGGGCAUGUAGCUGGGCCUCAUCAGCAUCAGCUGUCUUCAUCGACUUCGGACACACGCGCAGAUCCCAGAUAGAUUCCAGACGGUGCACAUGAUGGCCAUCGCCGAAGCCGCGGCCUCGGCAAGGGACUCCACACUGCAGCGCCAACCAGCUAGUUGUCCGCGUACGUCCACGAGCCACUGCAUCGAGCGAUCUGCAACCCGCGCCACUGCAUCAACCUUAGGUCUGCACCGAGCGAUCGACUUCACUGCACCGGGAGCUAUCUACAUCAACCUACUGCACCUGGAGAGAUCGACUCCUCCAGCGAGCGAGCUACAUAAUCAACAUGAAGCUGUACGACUACGCCAGGUUAUGAGCAACAUACUUCUUUGGCACGACAGGGCGUCGACACUUCAUCACCAUGGAGGGACGCCUUCAAGUGACGCAUCAUCGUCGACACGCCACUGCGACGCCAUCGCGGACACUUCAUCGCCAAGGUCUUCAUCAACGUGGUCUUCAUCAUCAUCAACACACCGCCGCCACCUCGUCCACAAGAUGGACACCUAGCGUCCUCUGACAAACUUUUCUGCAAGACGCGAACUCAACGACGGCAAUGACCGCGUCACAAUGACGACAUCGACCGCAUCAUCCACGACAAGACUGCAUCAACACGGCAUCACUGUAGUGACGACCCUACACGGCCACACGGUUCUGGCAAAACCGAUAUGUGCUCGAUGGGCUUCCUUCGGGCUUGGCAAAACCGAUGGACUCAUCGCCGACGACACCCUCUGACAUCCGCAAGGUGCAUCGUCCAUGUCUGCAGCUCCGUCAUAGCGCAUUUUUUUGCGCCUCCGGCUUUGUGCGGCUUCAUCAUCCACGUUGACCACACCAUCGAUCACGCCUACCUCAACCACGUCUACCUUGACCACGGCUACAUCAUCAUGAUCGGUUACCUCGACAUUGACAUUAAUGGCUACGUCUACAACAACAUAUCGGCAACAACUCCAGUCAACAGUGUCCGCGUCCUCACCAACGUUCACGCCACUCCCGCUGUGACUGCGGGAGGGAAGAGAGGAGAGACAAGGAAGGCACCAGAAGGGACGCAGUCACCGCCCUAGGUGUCAACCCAUCAGACGCAGUUGAUGAUGGUGCAGUGGAGAAGACGACGAAAGCGCAAGACUACAAAUUCAGUCGCAAUCGUCCGCUUCACUCCCGCUACGACUGAGGGGGAAUAUUAGAAUAUAAUUAUGUUUAAGAUAGAGGUAGGAAUUAGAGAUAGAAUAGGUUUAACAUGUACGACUUGCCCUCUACUUCAAGUCUCUCUCCCUCACAAUGUAUUCUAUAUAUACCCCAUAUGAAGGUCGGAUCAAUACAAUAGAAACAACACAAUAUUCAGUCAUCCUAUAAUUUCCACAUACUGUUCAUGAAAGAUUAACCAUUCCUGGGUCGUCCACGGUUUCAGGGACAUGUAUAUGUGUAUAAUGUCUUAUUGCGCAGUGUACCAUUUUAGCAUGCACUUUGUCGGGCCGAAUGUUUUGACUCAUUAUCUUGAAGGCAAAUAUUUGAUAUGUUUUCAUCAUGAGAAUAAGCUGGAGGGAAUAUUAUGAGUGGGCUUAAAUAAAGCAUAUCUAGCCAGUGGCUAAUGAUAUUAUUGUUGUAUACACAUUGUACAUUGGUUAUAGUGCAUAUCUUGAUAAAUUAACGAAUACAUAUCACAUACUUUUCGUUAUUCUGUUUUUUAUCAAUUGCAUUAGCUAAACCCACUAAAAAUUUGUGUGAGAAGCCUAGGAAUAUGGAAUUUGCUCCUGAUGACGUAUGGAUCACAUUUUUGCCAACAUAUGAUCAACAAAGCCAAUUUUGUUAUGCAGCAAAGUGCCCAUCAUAACUGAAGUGUGUAGUCCAGCGAUCAAUCAUGCUAUGACCACCCAAAAAAUUGACCCGGCGAAUGAAGAACAGCGCGGCAAAGCGCGCGACAGCUUCUAGUAAAUAUUCAUCUCUCUGGGACAUCCCGAGCUCCGGUGAUCCAAAAAAAAAUUCAGAUCUUUCAUUUGUUUUUACUUUUUUUUUUUGGAUUUUACUAUCCAUCCGGUAUCACUAGAGCUCGGAAUCACAUGAGUACUUUUGCAUGUCUCUGUUACUAGCAGGGAGGGGAACAAGUGUGAGGAGUGAGGACACUCAUAGUGGAUAUCAGAUGCAUCACACGGUGAACGGGCCUCAGGCCUCAGCUAAUUGUUUACAAGCAGCGAAACUUACAGGGGCAUCAGGCAUGCGGGCGAUCCGAGCUUACAUUUCAUCGGCUUAUUAAGCUAUCGAUAGAAGUCGUUUCACACAAAAAGAAAACUAUCGAUAGAUAAUAAACAACUGCUUGUGACUGAGGUGAUGGUCGUCAGGGCUUUGCGGUGCCGUCGCUCUUGGCAGCCGGAGUCUUCUCAGCAGCAGAGGUGAAAGACACGGGGCGGUGCGGUUGGUCAUCCACUACCAAGCUCAGCACCUCAGGCCGAGCGUAGUGGCCCACCACAUCAAAACCAAACUUGGCCCGAACGAUCUUUCCCAUGUCUGCACAAAAGGGCAUUUCAUCAGAAUCUUCUAAGACGAACUGUGAACCGGGUACAAAAACGUAUGCACAGAGAGCAUGUAGUAUCUGGUUAGUGCCUUACCAAGGUCGGCUGUGAUGAGCGCCUCUCCGUCGUAGUUGGGACCUGCCAGGACUUCUCCUGACGGCGAAAUGAUCACGCUGCCUCCAGGGCAGACAACGGUUUCGGGAGAAGGCUCUUCUCCUAAACCGGCAAAUGCGUACUCGGACGGCGGAGGGUAGUCCUUUCUGCGGCAGAACUGGUUUGCCGACAACACAAAGCAUCCCCCCUCCAGGGCGAUAUGUGUCAUGGAAGCUUGCCACACUGGCCUUGAAUCAGCCGUGGGAGCGCAGUAUAUCUCAAUACCUGCACACAGCACAAGAUGUUAGGAAAAAUUCGAAGUAGUACCUCCAUACAUAAGAUGCCAGUGCAUAUCUUCAACAUUAACCUAUCUAUCUGACUUGCACACAAGGAUAUAUUUCAAGGUUAUCAACUUAUCAUCUCAUGAGGCCAUGGCACUUGCAAGGUUGUUGUUGUACUUCCAAGUUCAUAGGGGUGAGUGUAUACGCGUGUAUAUGAGCGCUUGUAUUUGUAUUGAUGCUAAAAAAAUGUUGGCUGUAGACUUUCAUUUAAAUUAGCAUAAAAGAAAAUACAUGUUCCAACAAGAGCCUUACCUCUACCAUACAGUGCUGUCCUUAAAAGUGGCAUCUUAUUUUCCCAGCAAAUAAGGGCUCCAAUCUUUCCAAGUGGAGUGUCAUAAACAGGAAUUGUUGAUCCAUCUCCAAAUCCCCAUAUUAUCCUUUCUAAUGCCGUCGGCAUCAGCUUGCGGUGCUUACCCAGGUACCGACCUAGAGGAUCAAAGAAUAGCACUGAACAAUACAGUGUGUAACCUUCUCGCUCAAUCACCCCCAUUACCAGAAAGACCUUAUAUUUCCCAGCCAUAGCAGCUAAGCGUGUCACCUCUGGACCUGCAGGCUGUUCUGUCAGUAAGAAGAUCCAUAGUGUGGUGUAGUUGACACAAACCAUAUGUUGACACUUGAGACUAAUGAAAUAGCUGAAAAACUUGUUAGCUGUGCUAAAAGAAAAAGUGGAGAAUAAAUGGACCAUUAAAACAAUUAAUAUGUAAGAUGUGGAGUUGUGUGACAAUCACGGCAGAGAUUGAAGAACAUGACCAUAAAAUGUUGCUGGAGCAGUAGUACGGGGUAUGAGGUAUCAAAUUAUCAAUGAUUUAUAGUAGACGGUUGUCCAUAUCUUUUGGAAAAUUAUACUCAUAAACUGCAUCAGGAAGACAACGAAUGGCCAAAUAUUAACACUAUUUAUUCUCAACAAACUAACUCGAUGUCUAGCCUUGAGGAUUUCAUCCAACAAUUUCUUCCUUCUCAGAACUCCUUGACAGUCUAAUAGUGUUAGAAUAAAUCCGAGGUAUACCGUCGAUCAUUCGAGGACCAAGCAAUCACACGCACACGACACCGAGAUUUAUUAACGAGGUUCAUCGAUAUGGCUACAUCCCUGUGGCCUGACUACGGGCGCUCCUCCUCGUGACAUCGUCACAAUAUCGCACACCGGCCACCCGGGCGCCGGCACACGCCGCCGGCUCCCCCUUGCGCGCCUGUGCUAUUAUGUUGGCAUAGGUUACAUUGUGUGUCUACCUCCGCUAUAUAUGAGAGGCCUAGGAUACAGGUGUCCUAUUAGGACACGACUCCACAUCCUAUGUAAACACAAUACAACUCAUAGUUCAACUGUAACCUACCUUGUACACUAUAUUCGACACAACUCUAACAAAUUCCACCUUGGCGAAUAUUCUCCACCACCUUGAAUUUGUCAACGCGUCAAACUUCCAUGUACAUUGGACUUGAGCUUAUCCCGUGAGUUCCGCUGCUAGUCCAAAGACUCCAUAUGACUCCACCUGCAACUUGUAGUCCCUUCUUUUCUUGACCACAAUCAACACUCGAGCAAAAUUAAGUUCCACAUUACUCUAGUUUGCGCUCCCAACUUUUAGAGUACCAGUCCAACGUCAUCACACACUGAUCACUGACCUGUGUGAAAGUGAACAACUCACAUAUUGGGUGUCACACAUAAGAGUUACCUGAACUCAACAUCACCGCUUCUUUCUUGACCGCCUGUCUGAAACUUGAAGGAAUUUCACCAUUGCUUGUAGUCAUCCCAAGUCAAAUUCGCAGUUGUCUGACCACAUGUAUGACCACCAGAGCCCUGGUCCGUCUCCAUGUCCCCGUGCGUACCGCACGCCUCGCCGCUAUUACCGCGUCAAGCCUCCGCUGUCCCGGUCGAGUCUCAAGGGUCGCGAACCCACACCACUCAACCUCCACUGCAGAGUACCACCGAUCAUCCCCGACCGUUGACGAGUUUCACGCUUCCAUCAGACCACUGGGCUCCAGUCCGAACUACGUGUCCCUCGCUUUUCCAUCCCUUGCUGAAUAGGCUUUGAUUCUCUGGAUCCUUACACCGUAGCCCCUCAAUCCAGCUCCACCUUCAACAUGACUUCAUGGUAGAUGAUCAAUCCACCCCCGCGCCCUGUGGACUUCAAGCUCUCAUGUGCGCAUCGUCUUGAAUCAACCCCGUGUCAUAGCCUUGUCGAAGUCACACAUGCCCUCAGACCUGCGCCACGUGUUUUCACGCCCAGAAGUCGGUCACCAUCAGCAUACGCUCCUAUGUCGUUGUCGCCGAUCCCACCACCGUCUUCUGUACCAACCGACUUGCAUCGAUCCGUCAGACUGUCUAGUCUGACCCAGCCGAUCUCGUUCGACUGUACGACACGCCCGAGGCUCCUAAAUCGUCUUACGCGAAUUUCCAUCCAUCACAUGAUAAUUCCAUCUCAGCUGACAUGACUUCCCGCAACGCCUUCAAGCAUCUCUGUUAUGCCAACAAAUCUUUCACCCUUAUCUGUCAUAACCCAAGGUUUUUAAUUUGGACAAACUUCUCCACCUUAAACCUAGUAACCGUUGGUACCGUGGUUCUUUGUAUGACUAACCCUGUGAAAGAAAAUAACUAUUCUUCUCACGUAAUGGCCAAGUACACCUAGAUGUACAGGUAGCAAAUUCCAAUCAAGAAUUACUCUUGGCUUUCACACGUGGUAGUAGUUCCCUUGGCACCAAUUCCGAUGCUGGCUAAUUGCUUUUGCCUUGCCAACGCGCUUGACGGAUCUUUUCCCUUGCGCCGACUGAUUUACCUGCCUGUCCGUGUCUAUGGAGACUCGGUCUCCUUUUGUUUCCAAAACAAAUCUCUGUCCACUGCUUUCCAUUGAAUUGCUUUGAUCGAUCGUACUGCACCACGCGCUUGUAGCGCACGUUGUCAGGCCACUGUUCGCCAAGGGCCGCUCCGCACAAGGCUAUGAUGGCCCACCACAGCGGUGCUUGGGUUUCUUCCAAACACGACGCCGUCGUCAAAUCUUCAAGAACAACCUUGAUCCACCGACGCUGACAACAUCAGCUGCCAUGUCUCCAAUCAUACUCAUUGCAUCUCGCUAGAUCCCAUCAACAGCUUUCACGUGUUCUUCUCUAGAUCAACAAUACACAGCCUCCAAACAACCUAGCUCAUGAUACCACUUGUUAGAAUAAAUCCGAGUCAUACCGUCGAUCAUCCGAGGACCAAACAAUCACACGAACACAACAUUGAGAUUUUUUAACGAGGUUCACCGAUAUGGCUACAUCCCUGGGGUCUGACUACGGGCGCUCCUCUCCGUGACACCGUCACAAUACCGCACACCGGCCACCCGGGCGCCCGGCACACGCCGCCGGCUCCCUCUUGCGCGUCUGUGCUAUUAUGUUGGCAUAUAUUACAUUGUGUGUCUAUCCCCGUUAUAUAUGAGAGGUCUAGGAUACAAGUGUCCUAUUAGGACACGACUCCAUAUCCUAUGUAAACACAAUACAACUCAUAGUCCAACUGUAACCUACCUACCUUGUACACUAUAUUCGACACAACUCUAACAAAUAGGAACCGCAUUUCUGUAGUGUUUUUUUCUUUCGCGAAUACAUUUCUGUAGUGUUCACCAAAGUAUGCGAAAAAGAUCUUUGAUUUUCCAUUUCAGAACCAAAGAGUGCCAUGAACAAUAUGCAUUUGCAAAAAUCAGUUCUUCCUCUGGCCAAUACUAAGAAGACAUGACUCGGUUGUAAAGCAAUUAUUGAUAUGCAGAUAUGCUUCAUGCUAAAGAUGAAAAAAGCAGAUGCUAGCUGUCCUCCAAAUUACACAUAUGUCAGACACAAAAAGGGAGACUAACAACAGGAGCAAAUGCAAGGAAGAAUAUAUUAGCAAGAUAACACAUACGUGCUUUAGAAGUUAACAGUAGUCGGCAAUAAGAAAAUAAUAGUUGAAAAAAGAAAGCGGACAUACUGCAUUACAUUCUCACGUACCAGGCACAUCUAUGGCAGUUGCAUGAUACUUCUGGAAUUCACCCUUUCCCUUGUCUUGUGGAUUAGUCAUACUAAUACUGAUCCCAAAGCCAAAGGUGGAUCCACGAGGAUAACCACCAACAAAAGCUUCUGGGAACACGACCAACUGUGAACCAUAUCCAGCAGCCUCUGCUAUCAGUCUCUCUGCUUUAUCUGCAGUGGAAAUAACGAUAUUAGCAAUAGAUACACAUACACAUAAUGUUAGGAUAAUCAUGACUUUGUUGCAUGGAUAAGCUAGCUACGUGCGUGCAUGAGUUGGUUAGUCUAUGCAUGGUUGAGUUAGCUAGUUAAGUUGUUAGCUACGUGCAUGCAUAAGAUGGAUAUGGGUGCAUGUGGUUGAGAUAUUCUAGGAGGUGGGCGUCCGUGUGUGUGCAUGGAUAGAGUUUGUUAGACUCCAGACUCCAGGGUAGGGCUGCAAACGAGUCGAGUUCGAGCGAGUUGGACUUGACUCGGCUCAACUCAUAUCAAAAUUUGAGCGAGCUCAAACUGAGUGAAGCUCAAGAUCAAGUUGUAGAACAUGGCUCGUGCUCAGCUUGUAACGAUCUCAAGUCGAUUUCAAGCUAGUUUUGAGUUAAAUGUGAUGGUAAAAAAUAUAAAUCUAUGGAGAUUAUUCCAACUAGAUAAGGCACAACAUGACAUAAGAAAGCACUAAAAAUAGUAUUCCAAUUAAGACCAUGAUAAUAUAAAUUUCUUCAAAGUAGUUUGACUUAUUCUCUCAUAACGAAAAGUCUAGUAUCAACAUAAGAUAAUGAUUCAUGACAAACAUAUACGAGUAAUUUGGAAAACAAAUUAUUGGCCAAAGAUCAUAAAAAGUUGCAACAUAAUGCAGGUCGGAGAUGAUCUUGGAGUUGUCAUAGAACUUGAACUAAGUCACUCCAUCACCAUACCAAAGAAGCACAAUCGACCAACAUAUUAGAAUUUAUUAGUUUCAAAGAUAAUAUAAGCAAUGCAACAAUUCGAAUGAAUUUUUGUCAUAUUAUAUUUGUUUUUUACUAGUCUGUAGAAACCGAAGGCGCAUAUGCUGGGAACUUUUGCCAAAGAAAAACUGGAUAUUUAACACAUAGUCGACUACGUGCCAUAAUUAGGCCAAAAUCUUCUCCGCACUUAAUUAAGCUUCCAUGUUUGCUGGUAAAUAAAUUGGAGAAAAAUCAUGGGCAUCAUAUAUGGUAAUAAAUUAUCUUAUUUCCAUUUAAUAUAUGACAUGAUCAUUUAACAUAAUGAUAUUAUCUCGAGCUAUCGAGUUACAAUCGAGCGAGCCAAUAUCAGCUCAAGAUCGGCUUGUAUCUUGGUCAAGCUACAUGAAGUAUUCAAACUCGGCUCAUUUCUUUUCGAGUCGAUCUCGAAUCGAGCCAAAAAACGAGUCGAUCUCGAGCGGCUCACGAGCCUAGAGCUUUUCUUGGAGCCCUACUUCAGGGUAGUUAGCUAUGUGUGCGUUCAGGCUGUGAGGUGGCCGGUGAGUCUGGCUAUUUAAACCAUGUAAUUCAGUCCAUUGUGGUACGGUGUGGUGCCGAGUGAGUUUGAGCUCGAAAGAAAAAAAGAACUGCCGUUCGUCGGCGUGGCGCCGUUCGUGCGGCGGGGCGUUUGUCGCCGGAAUAUCCAGUGUCCUCCUCUUUCUUCCACCUCUGUAUGUCCGAGUGUGUGUCAGAGAGAGUUUCGUUCGGCGUUCGUGCCGCCGGAAGCUACUCGGCGUUCGUCGCUAGACCGGGUUUCUCCCAACAUUUGGUAUCAAAGCCUCAAGAUUCGGGGCCAUGGCAGACGCGGAUGCGGCACGCGGUGAGUCCGCAGCGAGCUUGGCGGACGUGGAGGCCUGAGCGAGCGUGUUGCGACGACGACACGCGACGAGCCCGGCGGUGGCGGCGUUUCAGCGGCGGCUGCACGAUGAAGCUCCGGGCCGUGUGUCGGCCUGAGGAGACGCGUGGCGCUGUGGCUGUCACUGGCAUGUGUUGCCGGAGCCGGAGGAGAUGGCGUAUGUCGCCGCAACCAGAUCGGGGAAGACGGCGUAUGUCGCCGGAAAGUCGGGCGUGUGUCGUCGGCGGAGAAGGAGCAUAACGUGUGUUGCCGAGGAAGAGGCUGGAGGCUGCGUCAAGCGUGGUGGGGACCGUAGCGGCGGCGACGGCGACAACGUCGGCGGGAACUGCAACAACUUCGGCGAUGGAAGUCAAGAUUAGGAGGAGAUUGUUAGGAUAAUCAUGACUUUGUUGCAUGGAUAAGCUAGCUACGUGCGUGCGUGAGUUGGUUAGUCUAUGCAUGGCUGAGUUAGCUGGUUAAGUUGUUAGCUACGUGCAUGCAUGAGAUGGAUAUGGGUGCAUGUGGUUGAGAUAUUCUAGGAGGUGAGCGUCCGUGUGUGUGCAUGGAUAGAGUUUGUUAGACUCCAGACUUCAGGGUAGUUAGUUAUGUGUGCGUUCACGCUGUGGGGUGGCCGGUGAGUCUGGCUAUUUAAGCCAUGUAAUUCAGUCCAUUGUGGUACGGUGUGGUGCCGAGCGAGUUUUGAGCUCGGAAAAAAAAUGCCGUUCGUGCGGCGGGCAUUUGUUGCCGAAAAAUCCAGUGUCCUCCUCUUUCUUCCACCUCUGUAUGUCCGAGUAUGUGUCAGAGAGAGUUUCCUCCGGCGUUCGUGCUGCCGAAAGCUACUCGGCGUUCGUCGCUGGACCGGGUUUGUCCCAACACAUAACCCAUGCUGAUAAAUAGCCAUCUCAUCCUCCAAACAAGCCUUUUGUAGUUUAUUUUUCCUUCUGCUUUUCUUUGUGGGCUGUAAGACCUGCACUAUCUUAGGUCUUCUUCUAAUACAAAAUAAUCUUAGUACUCCACAUGUAUCCAGAAAAACAAACUGUGAAUUAUGUUCCCAUGCCAGGCAAUUGCAGAGGUGGCGGAAAUGGAUGGGACUUGAGUGUGGUUUUGUGUAGCUUGAACUACAUGGUAUCCCUUAUCUUAGCCAUUCAUUUUUGCACUGCGAUCCGUGCAGGCACAUUUGUCAUUUUUUGUUUCUCUCAAACGAAAUAACAUAUAAACUUCAAACUUGCAGGACAACAAAACAUUCUAAUUACUAUGGGGAAAAACUUCUGAUUUUUGCAUGCAUUUAAAAUGCUAGAAUUUAUUUUUUUAAUCAAAAAAUCCUCAUUUUGCAUAUUUAUGUUGGUCCAAAAACCUGAAAGUUUUUUCACACAUUGAAGUUGUAAAGUUUGUUUGAUCUGCAAAGUUUGAAGUCCAUAUGUUCUUUCAUUUGAAAGAAACAAAAAAGAGAACUUGUUGUUGCAAUUUAGUUGGAGAGUACGGAUCUCAAAGCAAUGCUGAAGGGCUGAAGAUAAGAGGUUCCAUGUAGCUCAACCUACAGAGGAACUUUACCAUGGGACUGAGUGUGGUUUUGUGUAGCUUGAGCUACAUGAUACCCCUUAUCUUAGCCAUCCAUUUUUGCAUCUGUGCAGGCACAUUUGUCAUUUUUGUUUCUCUCAAACGAAAUAACGUAUAAACUUCAAACUUUGCAGGACAAGAAAACAUUCUAAUUUCUAGAAGGUGCAGCAGCUUCAUCUUCUUAUUUUGCUUGGUACAGUGAGGUAAAUCUCUGUUAGGUUUAUGUCAACAGUGGUUUCUUUCAACUGAAUAAGUAAAUAAUACAUGAUGUAAAAGAAAGAAAAUGUAGCAUACAUGUUGUUGCCACUCUUUACCAACUAGCUUUAUAUGGCAUCAAACAGUACAAAUAUAUGUUGAAUAACAAAUCAUAGUGAAGUCUUUAAAGAAGCUCUUAGUCUUAGUGACGACCCUUGCUGCCUACAAUUAUUUCAGUGGUAUGAAUCAAACAGAAGGAAUAUAACAACUCUAGUUUUCCUACCCUGAGGACAAAGGAAGCAUGAACAUCCCUUUGCGGGAGGAAGGCUAAGACAAGGCUUAUGCAUCAAAAUCAAGGGAUACAAGAGACACCAUCAUUAACAGCCGUCUCCACCAUUGCAUUACUGAGUUUUGCACCGAGAAGGCAACCUUUUCUACCACUAUACACGAUGCAAAAAAGAAGUUUUGCCAGUCAUGGCAAAGCGACGGUAUAUAACAACAAACUGGUGUCUCUCACAACACCAAAGUCACAACACCCGCGGAUUCAGAAAUUAACUGCACCGAAAAAAGUUUAGACGAUCAUCUCAUCUCCAUGACCCCAUGGUUUCAUCUCAGCUAAUGACAACUUAAACUAAUCCAACACGCUGGUAACUCUUCCGAAGGUAAUCGAGCAGCAGCAGGGAGGGCUAGAGAAAGAAUUUAAGUGAUUCAUUUACUAAGGCAGGGGAAACGGUGAGCGAGUAGUUACCGAGAGUGGCGGGGGUGUCGUAGAAGACUGUGGAUGCCUGCACGACGGUGGCUCGUACGGUGGUGGCGCUCUGGUCGGCGCCGCCGUUCAUCUCUACCUCGGCGAUCACCGGCGUGCUGCCUGAGCCCGAGGGAGCCAGGGCCAUCGGUAUGGGCUCGGGAAACUCGCUCGAUCGUAGCCGCGGAUGAACUGGAGCUUGAUGUGGAGGUUGGAAGCAGAGGUGGGCAUUCAAGGGGAAGCGGGCAUGGUGGGGAGUGGGGACCGGGGAGCGCCGGAAUGGACAAGGGAGAGCGCCGGGUAGCCGCCGCCGCCGGGUCAGUGACCUACUGGACAAAGAGAGCGCUAAUCCACGUCUCCACGCUGGUGUGUGGUCGAUGGUAGGUACGAUACGACGACAAA
rnacentral:lncRNA from 1 species